ACGGCAACGGCGCAAUCCCACCGGCAACCCUAGUCGAAAUCAACAUCGCAGCUGACGGUGGUCAGGACUUUUACGACGUCAGCCUCGUCGACGGCUUCAACGUCCCCAUGUCCGUUGCCCCGCAGGGCGGAACCGGCGAGUGCAAACCCUCUUCAUGCCCGGCCAACGUCAACAACGUCUGUCCGGCGGAGCUGCAAGUGAAGGCCGCCGACGGGAGCGUGAUCGCCUGCAAGAGCGCAUGUUUGGCGUUCAACGAGCCACAGUACUGUUGCACACCUCCUAAUGACACUCCCGAAACAUGUCCACCCACAAAAUACUCUCAGAUCUUUGAGGAGCAGUGCCCUCAGGCUUAUAGCUACGCUUACGAUGACAAGAGCAGCACCUUUACAUGCUUCGGUGGACCUAACUACGCCAUUACUUUCUGUCCAUGAGCAAUAUAGAGAUGAUCGAAAUCAUAGACAGAUCGAGGAAGCUAAUAAUCAAAUCCCUUUUUGGGGAUAAGAAUAAGUUGUAUGAAUCUUGACACCUUGAUAUUGUCAAGAAUUUAGUAUCAAUAAUUUCGAUGGAAUAAUUAAUUAAAGACAUAAAAUCUUCUAAGAAUAUGCAAUCCCCAACAAAUAUGUACGGGGUUAGCAAUCAGAUUCGUUAAACUUUACACCCCGAUCUAUUUUCAUUAGCCAACAUUCUCCAACAAUAUUGACACAACAAAACAAAUAUACAUAUUGUGUGAUGAAGAAAAAUUAGUCACACAACAUGUUUAAGGAACCUUGUCUUGUAUGUUUAACCCGUCUCUAUCAUUCGUGUUACACGCUAACCACUCUAUGGGAUUAAAAACAGAUUAAUUAAGAAAAAAAGUUCAUAGAAACGAUCUGCUAUACUUGAGAGUCGACAAUCCGUCAGCAUAUAUCGUGGCUGAUACUAGCCGAUAUAUCUACAUCCUCAAUAAUCGCCGGCGAUCUCUAGCUUCAACCACCGUGUGCGGCUGCCCUGUCAGAGAGCUCUCUCUCUUAUCACGUACGCUGAUUUGCAUGCGUAAUUGGGAUAGCACAUAAUUGAAUAACCCAAGCCAAGACUUAUUCAAUGGCAUGAUCAACUUAGGAGACUAGUGGCACGGCAUCAGCGUCAAUAGGUACAUUCAAGUCAGGGGCGGAGCCAUUCACAGGCCUUGGAUGGCCUUGGCACCCCCCAACUUGGAAUUAUAUACAUACAUUCCCCUGUUAUAUAUUCUGAUACAGAUGAUCUUCAUCUCAGUCUAUCUCAUGUGAUGGCACUCCCAUGCCCCAGCAUUAUGUAAUGAUUUUUUCUGGGUGCCCACUAACCUUAUUUAUAUAUACAAUUGUGGGCUUUAUUUCCUAAUAGGCCAAUACAAGCUUACUUCCUAUUUGAUUAUGACACAAAUCCAAUAUUUAUAUGUAUUAUAUUAGGAAUCUAGGUCCUUAUCUAUUAUCUAAUCCAGGAUGAGACUCAUGAGAGGACGAGAGGACGAGAGGAACAACCGAACAAACAAUAUGUAAACAUGAAGACGACCUUCCUCUCUCGCCUCUAAAAACCUUGAUCGCUCCCCUUCAUGUAACCGCCCGCUUCUCUCUUCCUUACUUCGAUCAGUAUCUAAACCUAGGGCUUUAUUUCUUCUGAGCAUUUUCUAUUGAGCUCUCUAACCGACCAAACAAUAUCCUUUUUCCAUAGAUCUCGUCAUCUAUGUUACUUUAUUGGCUUAUAAUUUAUCUUUUGUUCAUUGGCCGGCCCCUGUUAGUUUUAAAUCCUGGCUCCGCCUUGCAAGUACUAUGAAAGUAUGAAUGCAUAUUAACACAAGAUUUUGAUAGAUAGCCCCAUUAUUUGUAAUGACAUAUCGAAAUAUAAGGCAACACCAUCCUUCACAGUUCACACUUGCCCGUUUGUUUUCACACUUGCCCAUUUGUUCUCUAAGAGAAAUUUUAUUCACACACUCUUAAAUACUAAAUGCACAUACAUAAAAUACCAAAUACACAUACAUUUUUUUAUACAUCUAACGUCAAAAAGUUUAAGUAUAUUAAAUUACCAAAAGAGGUUUAUAUUAAUUAUAUAAUAUUAUUAAAAACUUGAAAUACACUAUAUCUCACUUUAAAGUUUUAUUCUCUCUGCAUGAAUGAAAUUUCAAACUUAAAAUUUGAUAAUAGGCAUAUUCUUAAUCAAAUUGAUUGAGGAUUAAUUAUGGUCUCAUGGGCAAGAGCUUAAUGAUUCAUAAUAAUGAAUUCCCCUAAGCAGAUGAAGGUUUUUGGUUGGCUUCGACCAUGCAAAGACUUAGAAUGGUACUGUCUGUCUUAUAAACAAGUGGAGUAUCCAUGCUCGAGGUUUUCAAGCAGAAGAGACUAAUGAUCUAGUUUGGCAUCAGUUUUGCAAUGAUCUAAAACAUGUUUUAAAGAAAUUGUGAAUGAAAUAUGUUCUGUAUAGAUAUGAUAACAGUACAAUGAAUUGGUCUAUAUACAUCUACCAUGAUAACUAUUCUAGGAAAGGCAUGAUUACAUAUAUCAAGAUCCUAUAAACAUUCAUAGAAAAGAUAUGUCAGAAUCCCGAUCCACCAUUUACUCCAUUAUAUCUCCAAUCUACUUGAAUGCAUAUCAGUAGAUUACUUCAUUCCAUAAUACUCUCCCUCAAGUUGGAGAGUGAAUGUCUAUCACACCCAACUUGCUAAGGUGUGUGUGGAAUACUGGCGCACGCAGAGGCUUGGUAAACAAGUCUGCAAUAUGUUUUCCAGUUUGCACAUAAGCAGUCUUGACUUCACCCUUUUGAAUUCUCUCUCGAACCGUAUGGCAAUCUAACUCAAUGUGCUUCGUUCGCUCAUGGUAUACUGGAUUUGCUGCAAUGUGUAAGGCUGCUUGAUUAUCACAGAAUAACCUUGCUGCCUCAGGAUGUUGCACCUGCAAGUCUUUCAAUAAGUAUCUCAACUAGCUGAGUUCACAAGUGGUUGCAGCCAUAGAACGAUAUUCAGCUUCGGCAGAUGAUCUUGAAACUGUGGCUUGCUUCUUGCUUUUCCAUGACACAAGUGACUUACCAAGAAAAAUACAAUACCUUGUUACUGAUCUUCUGGUGAUGGGACAUCUUGCCCAGUCUGCAUCGUAAUAGACGACCAACAAGGGUGAACUAUUUGAAGGGAAUAAUAAGCCUUGUCUAGGAACUGUCUUAAGGUAUUGAAGAAGUCGGUUUGCUGUUUUGAGAUGAUGCACCUUAGGUUCAUGCAUAAAUUGACUGAGUGUGUUCACAGCAUACGUAAUGUCUGGUCUAGUGUAAGAUAAAUCAGCUUCCCAACCAAUAUCCUAUACCGAGAGGGAUCCUUGAGAGCAUCACUCCCUUUCUCAGUUAACACCAAGUCAGGCUCCAUAGGUACCUUGGUAGGUUUCACACCAAGAAGUCCCGCCUCCUCCAAUAUAUCCAACGUAUAAUUACGUUGACAAAUUGAAAUUCCAGCUUUGGAUCGUGCAACUUCUAUGCCAAGAAAAUACUUGAGGGGUCCAAAAUCUUUAAUCUUAAAACAACUGUUGAGGAACUUCUUGAGAUCCCGAAGAAAUUUCGGAUCAAGGGUUGUGUGUUGGAUUUUAAUUUCAUGAGAUGAACCCAAGUGAAACGAGUAAAAUCAUCAACAAUGGUGAGAAAAUAACGUGCUCCAGAAUGAGUGUGAGUUUUGUGAGGGCCCCAAAUAUCACAAUGAAUCAAGUCAAAAGAUGCAGUGGAUUUUAUUGAACUUGAAGGAAAAGAUAAACGAGUUUGUUUGGCUAAAGGACAAAUAUCACACACAUGUUGUGGAUCAAAAACUAUUUCAAGAAUGGUUUGAGAUAACCAGUGAAGAGGUGAAGAUGACAGGUGUCCAAGCCGUUGAUGCCAAAGGUCUGAGGUACGUGUGACAUGAUUUGCUAGGUGGGGGUUUUGGCUUGGGUUGAGGUAGCAGAGUCCGUUAAAAUGCUUGCCCAGGCCAAUCGUCCUCUUCGUAUCCACGUCCUGCACAACACAAAAAUCCGGGUAAAAAAUCAUAAUGCAUUUCAAAGCUCGAGUCAAUUUACUCACAGAUAUCAAAUUUACUCGGAAUUUAGGUACAUGAAGAACACCAUCAAGAUUCAAAUCUGUUGACAACUUAAUUGUUCCAAUACUCUCAAUGGUGGCUUUCCCACCAUUAGGUAGACCAAAAAAAUCAUGAGAUGUUGUAAUUUUGUUGUGAGUAGGUGAUAAAUAAGAAACAUGAUCCGUUGCUCCACUGUCUACGAUCCAAUAUAAUGUAGAAUGAGGAUCAGUAUGUGUGAUAUUGCAGUUGGGUGUGACUAUGCGUCGUGGUGUAGGAUAUGCAUGUAUGUCAUAUCUGGUGAGGUUUUGGACAGUGUGUUCUUCUGUGUUGGCCAUAACGUCGAUUUGAUAGUGUCUAGUUUAACUGUGUUUGAUAUGUUUACGGAAGAUGGAUGAGUCUCUAGAGUCACCAAGAUUGGUGCUCUGAUACCAUAAAGAAAUUGUGAAUGAAAUAUGUUCUGUAUAGAUAUGAUAACAGUACAAUUAAUUAUUGGUCUAUAUACAUCUACCAUGAUAACUAUUCUAGGAAAGGCAUGAUUACAUAUAUCAAGAUCCUAUAAACAUUCAUAGAAAUGAUAUGUCAGAAUCCCGAUCCACCAUUUACUCCAUUAUAUCUCCAAUCUACUUGAAUGCAUAUCAGUAGAUUACUUCAUUCCAUAAUAUGGUCCAAAAUAAUGAAUAUGCAAAGAAUUCUACAUAUAUUGAUUGAUCAUGAUGGAGUAGUUUGAAUGCUCUUGAGUUUUUUUUUUAAAAAGUCUUCUCAUUUUUUAGCAAAGAGAGAGAGAAAGCUUUUAUUUUCUUUCUAAGUCGAGAUGAUAUAAAAAAUGAAUAAAUAUGUAUUUAGAAAAUAUAUAUGGUAGCAUGGUAUAUUUUUAAUGAGGGUAGUUUAGAAAGUUUAAAGACGUGUAUCUAGUAAAAUGUUAGUAUUAUAAAAUUAUUUGGUGGUGUAUUUAGUAUUUAGCCAUACGUGAAUAAAAUUACUCGUUCUCUAAAGCUCUAAACAGUUGAAAAAAAAAAAAAACUAUUUUUGCAAACCCACAGCAAUGACAGCAUAAUCCUACAAAGCAGAAUCUUGAAUAUUUAUAAGAGUGAUAAGCGAGUGCUAAACAGCAAUGAGUUGACCACACAAAGAAUAUGUAGAACCAACAUACCUGCCGAACAAGGGUGCCAAAUGGUGACUUGACCAUGAUGUGCAUUGGCGUUUUUUUUUCAUCAAAAAUUUUAAGACCUGAAGCCAAAGGAGAAGAAGAACUUAGCAUACAUGAAACAACAUAUGCAUCCCAAAAUAACGAAAAUCUUUUAUGCACCACGGUGCAAAUGAACCGAACAACUAAUAUGUAGUAAUUUGAUCCGGCUAUCUAUGUCGCACUACAUACAUAAAUAUUAAUACCGUUAACAAAAUUGAAACCUAAAAAAAUAAUCUUAAGUGUUUCCAACUAAGGAGGUGAGGACACUAGGUCAAAGAAGAUAUACUCUUAUAAUGAGAGUUUUAUUUAAUCGGAUCAAAAAUGAAAAUAAAAUGAAUGAUUUGAGCACUUACACAUUAAUGAUGCACUUGGUGCAAGUGCACAUUGAUACGUAUAAUCCGCUUUCUCAAAAUAAAAAAACAAACCGUAAAUGAGGGGGCAUAUCUCUGUGGAUGUAGAUAACGCAUGAAGCAGGUUUACGUUAGUUUACCACUGCUGUUGAAGACAUAGAAAGGAACACACCAACGAAUACGCCCUCAGAAAUUUUACCUCCACAUAACUGCAAACAGCAUCCAAUCAGAACUGCAGCAUUGAGAAUAAAAAAAACUUUGUAUAAUCCAGUCUACAUCAGCGAAAGCUAUGGCUUCACAAUCAAUGUCGAUUAUAGUUAUCUUAAGCACACCCGUCCAAUAAACGAACCAAAGAGUGGUAAAGAUGUAAUCAUAAUACUGAAUGUCAAGAUGCAAGAGCAGAAUAGAGGCAUAUACCAGUCAAUUUCAUGUCUUGCACAAAUACUGCACCUCUCACUCUCCAACACAGAAGAAUAGCUAAUGGUACUCCACAUCCUGUUAGUUUUAAGGACUCAGAUGCUAAAUCCCAGUGCGAUAGGUUAUACUUGUCACUCAGUGUAAACCCUAACACAGUCAAAGUAGUUGGAGGAAUAAAGCACCAAGAAGAAAUAAUCUACAGCACCGUUAAAAGAGGAAAUUACCAAUGAGCAAAACUAAACUAGAGUUAAAAGAACAUAUGCAGUAUAAUUAUGCAUACUGAUUAUAAAGGGCAUCUUAUCAUUUUAAUCGAGCACAUCGAAACGAGCCUCACCUCUACAUCCGCCUCCUCCACCGCCGUGCAUACCUCGGCCAGCCAAGCAGAGGUACCCCUACAUCGUCCAUGGCUGUGGAUAUGGUACCGGCCCCUACAUACUUGCCUGCAACAAUUCUAAUCGAAUUGAAUCCUAUUAUAAACCAUGAUUUACAAUCCCGUGACAAGUUAACUGUAAAGCAUUAAUUAGGAAAACUGUGAUACUAAUUCUAUAAAAUAAACCACACAGGGAAUGAACAUACAAAACUUGAUCAAAAUUCAGAGAUAUAUUAUUUCAUGGAUCCGAAACAGAGUACAUACACAUAGACCUCCUCAUCACCCGAACAAAUCCCCAAGCACAAAUUAUGAGUAGUCGUUUUAUAAUAGUCCAUGACAUGAAGGACAGUCCUCGAUAAACACUGUACUGUAAACAUCAUCCAAACAAAUAGAAAAAGCCUCCCCGAAUGUGGUCUCCAAAUCCUACAGACAACAAUAGUGACUCAAGCUCAAACCCUAUAGAAUAUGCACAACAAUUGCACGCACAAAGUAAAUGUAAUUCUACGAAAGACUAACUUGGAAGUAUCAACUACCAAAAGUUUAUUUUUAAUGGAAAUUCGGUGACAUGGCGGCGGUUUAUUAACCGUCUCUAUCAUUUGUGUUCUAUACUAAAACAAUCUAUGGGAUUGAUUCCCAUAAGUACAUAUAUAUCUGAUCUCUAGCUUGAGACACAGGCAUAUAUAAUCUCAACAAGUUAAAUAAAAACAGAUUAACAAAAAAAGAUCAUGGAAACGAUCCAUGAUCCACAUCCUCAUCAAUAAUCGCGAUCUCUAGCUCUCUCUUUGUUGAUUUGCAUGCGUAAUUGGGAUAGCUGGAUAGCGCAUAAUUGAAUAACCCAAAUGCAAGACUUCAAUAAAACGAUAAACUUAAGAGACUAUCGGAAACCAACUUUGUCCAUUCACUCGUUCCCGCGCAUCGUUAUUUCCAUCAAUGUAAUUGUUUGCUGAAAAAUAGUCGGUUUUUCCAUCAGCUAAGUUAUAGAUGCCAAUCAGUAAAUGACCAGUGGUGUUUGUUGCAUAAUAUAUGCAGUUUCCACCUCCGAGUCCAUUAAACGCCUUGUCCUUCAAUACAGUUGACACUGAACUGGUUAGCUUUGACAAUGGAAUCGAGAUAUCUCUGUUCAAGCGUGAGAAACUAUUUGCACUUAUGAAGAUUGUCUGGUCUUCAAGAGUAGUCUCUGUCAACUCAGGUUCCGAGCCAACAUCUAACUUGAACACCCCAAAUGGAGCAUCUGGAUUCUGCAAAUACCUGUCGGGAUAUUUAGCACUACCAAAAUACCGAUCCCAUAUAAGCAAAAUUUCACCUUCAGAAGUUAUCAUGAAGUAAGGAUAAGUCUCAAGUCCAUACAGGUUCUUGUGUCGUUCAAUUAAACUUCCAACUUCAAAUUGCUUGCCUACGUAGAUCUGACUUUCGGCUUUAGAAAAAACCUCUAGGGGAUCAAAAACAACAAGAUAUUGAACACCAUAUCCCCCGUUAGCAAAUGCGUACAACUUCCCAUCCUUAUGGAAUUGAAGUUCAUGAAAAUGAAUUCUAUAUUUGGGGCCUGAUUGGUAAGUCCAUGAUUUGUCACCUGGCCUGCAAAAUGCCAACUUGUAUGUGCGUGGUGUUAGUAUUGUUGCUACAAUGCAACCAGAAGAUCUCGGGUUUGAGGAGGCCGCAGAUAUCAUUGGUACUUCAUUGGAGGGUGGCAGCAUAAUUCGAGCACCUGUUAUCAGAUUCAACAAGUAGUUGAUGCUCCAUCCAUAAGCACUAGGGGACUUUCGCCAUUUAUGUUCGCUCAUUAUCAAAUAUCCAUCAAUACACCCUACGAACAUCAUAUAAUACGAAGGAUCUGCAGUUGCUUUUGAAAACGUAAAAUUAUAGACACUGUCUUCACUUGGACUAUAGAGACUACAGAGUGCAGUUGCCGAGUCCACAGACCGAACCCGUUUCAAGAUCCAUGGAAAAAGGGUUGCUCGUUGACACCAUUUUGACGACGCUCUUCUCCAUGAGGUACACACAGCAGAGAACUUAAGUGAAUCAAUGAGUGAUAACCGCUUCAUCAACAUCUCAAUCAAGUCAUCAGGAAGAUACUCAGACCACCUAUUCGAGACCGAGAUUACUCCAUGGGCACUUUCACCAUCUCCUAAUUCCAAUCGACGGCAAAGUUUUUUUUCAAUGUAUCAUCUUGAAAACUUGUUGCCUUAGUUCUACCAUCAGCUCUGCUGCAACUGAUACCCAUUCUCGAUCUUCUAAAUAACUUAUACUCUUGAUUGAUAGGCCUGAAGAAUAGAUUAACUAGUUAAUCAAGUGUACAGAAGCUGAUCAUAUUUAGCAUCGAAUAGAAAUAAAAGAUAAAUUAAAUUAGUGUAUUUAUGCUAAACGUCUCAUAAUCUACCAUGAUCAUAUUCAACAUAAGUUUAAUGAUGAACCAAACUCUUCAUAUCGAGCAACUAGCUUAUACAUGUAAUAAUUAACAAACAAUCAUGUAAUUAAAGAUGGAGUGAUAUUAAAUACAACUUACAAUUAACUUAUCUUAGAGAAUUGCCUACAACAACAAAUUAAUUAAACCAGAACGAUCACCAUCGAAUAAACAAAACCAGAAUAAUUAGUUCUUAUUAGGGUUUGGAGUUUUAGUUAUGAGACAAGGACCUAUGAUUAAAGAAAACAUGAAACAUCUAGGUCAGGAGAGUACGUGAACCCACCUAAAAACAUGAAUCAACCCAAGUCCAGAAACAGCCCUCUCAGAAAUCAAAGAAACGCAGCAACACAAAAUAAAAUGUUUAAACACCGCCGCGCCCGGUAUAGGUGGGACGUCGCGUUGUGUUAGCACUUCGCUAUCUCUAUCAUUAAUGAAUGAGGACUCCUCAAUCGAAUUGGACUGCUCUCUCUGAUGGGAUGCAGUAGCUGCAUAUCUCUUAUUCUUCUGUACUUCCUUUAUUCUAUCUUAGUUCGUUUGGUUAUUAGGCCCAGUAUGUAAAAGUUCCAUCUGACCCAAUAGUAGGAGUAGUUAUCUCUAGCAGUUAGUACUUAAUAGUUCUCUGGAUAUAUAUCUCUUUUUUUUUUUUUUUGAUACUAAAAUACAAGGAAAAACAAGAAAAGCUAGAGGACACUGCCUCGUGGGCAGCCUUCACCAAUUUGGUCAAACAGGAUCAUUCUUCCAAUAGACCUGGGCAAAGGUUGGAACCAGUCUCUUCUUCCUGUUAUUGAAUGUCCCAAACUUUCUGUGGCGUCUGCUGCAAAAUUUGCUUCCCUGUAUAUGUGGUUAAAGCAAAUCUCCUGGAACUCUUGAGCCAAGUUUUUAAUGUCUUCUAUAAUCUGUUGGAGCCUCCAUGGGGUGCUAAUUUUGCCAUUCACUACAUCAAUAAUGAUUUUGGAGUCACCCUCUACAAUGAUCCUUGUCAGCCCCCUGUUCUUGGCAAUGAGGAUGCUGUCUCUUAGUGCCGUCGCUUCAGUUGUGGGAACCGAGGCCUUCCCAAUGUUCUUUGAUGAAGUAAUAAUUGGUACACCUUCAGAAUUCCUGAUGAUAGUACCACAGGCUGCAGAAGAGGAAGUCACCGAGCCAUCAAAGUUUACUUUGAAAGUGGAUGCAGGAGGUGGUUGCCAUUUAAUGGCUGAUGGUGUUUUGAAAGAACCAACCCUGCAAUUCAUGUUAUUUUCCUUGAAGCCUUUCUCUAUAGAAGCAGCAACACUAAUAAUGGUUAGAGGGGAGGUACUAAUGUUUCUGAAAGAAGCAUCGUUCCUGGCCUUCCAAAUCAUCCAACAAAUAGUUAGAAUUUUCUCAAAAUCAUUUUUGUUGUAAUUUCUUUUCCUCAAAAAGAGAUUCAGUUUAUUUAAGAAUGUAUCACUUCCAUGAAUAAGAUCAUGGAGGCAAGCUUUUCUCCAAACAUUUGUUGCAAUUGUACAAUCACCAAAAAGAUGAUCCAAAGUUUCAUUGUCUGAUAAACAUAAUGAACAGGUGUUAUCAUGUAUUUGGUUAAAACCUUGACAGUCUGUCUUUUGUUUUCAGUCUUCCUCUUAAAAGAAGCCAGCUGAACAUUUUAAUUUUUGGAGGGAUGUUUAGCUUCCACAUUCUAUUUAUCAGUUUAAUUUGGGGGUGUUUUUCAGAGAACUUACAUUGGAUCCAAGUCGCUGUUUUGAUGGAGAACUUAUCAUUUGCAGCGGGUCCCCAGACACAUCUAUCAUUCUGGUUAUUUAUGGGGAUAGGAAUUCCCAUUAUCUGUUUGACUAUUUCCCAAUCCAGGACUUGGAGCAAUUUUUCUUUGUCCCAGCUAUUUCCUGCAAUAAAGUUACUCACAUUUGCAUCCCAAUUAAUAGUAGCUUUCUGCUGAUCAUUUAACAAAUUGAUAAGAGGAAAAUCAAAAAUCCAAUUAAAAGUCCAGAAUUUAACCUCCUUUCCUGUGCCAAUAGUCCAUCUCAUCCCUUUUGUAAUGAGAUCUCUACUAUCCAGGAUGCCUUUCCAAGCAACGGAGUCACUACUUUUCUUUUUUGUUUCAAAGAAGGAAUGGUUCUUUAAAUACUUAUUCUUCACUAUUUGAACCCACCAGUUAGAGUGGUCCAUGAUAAUCUUCCAACCAAGCUUUGCUACAGCCGCUUUAUUAAAGUAGGCUGAGGGUCUAAUUCCUAAGCCUCCAAUGGAUUUAGGAGUACAUACUUGUUCCCAAGCUACUGGUGGGUUUUUAGAAUCACCCCACAAAAAACUCCUUGAUUCUGUAUCUACCGCCUUUGUGGUUCUCUUAUCACAAUUAAAACAAGACAUAACAUGAUUUGGCAUUCCAGCCAGGUUUGUUUUGAUAAGGGUGACUCUGCCAGCAUGAGAAAGAGUAUUCUUUUUCCAGCCGGCAAGUUUAUUAGAAAUUUUAAGGAUUAGUUCCUUUGAGUUAAUAGGGUCUUUCCAACAAGCAACGUUAUGGAUGCCUAAGUAUUUUUCGAUAGUGCUUUUUUGUUGAAUUCCCAAGAUAUUGACAAUGUCAUUCUUCCUGGAGCCACAAACAUUUGGAGAAAAAUAAAGAGAAGACUUAUGGAAGUUUAUUUUCUGUCCUGAAGCAGUGGCAAAGUCACUUAAGGUUUUAAGAAUAUUUCUGGCACCUCUAGGAGUUGCUUUAGCAAAAAUUAGACAAUCAUCAGCAAAGACAAGGUUGGAAAUUCUAGGUCCUCUGGGAGCUGAAACUAUCCCUACUUGGUUCCUAGGUUUCUCAGCUAGCUUAUUGAAUUCUCGAAUAAGGGGUUCCAUACAGAGAAUAAAAAUAUAAGAGGAUAAAGGAUCUCCCUGUCUAAUACCUCUCGAAGGCUUAAACCAACCUUCAGGUUUUCCGUUGAUUAUUACUGAGAAAGAAACUGAGCUUAUACAGUUCAAGACCAUGUUAAUCCAAUUAUCGCAGAACCCAAACUUUGUCAAACACGCUUUGAUAUACCUCCAAUUGAGGAAAUCAUAAGCUUUUUCUAGGUCUAACUUGACCGCCAUGUAACUCUGGAUAUAUAUCUUUAUUCUGUAAACUGUAUGGGUAUGAAUGAAGAAACAAUAUAUCUUAGCAGUUUAUCUAUCUCUUUGUAUUUAAAUCUUGUUCCCAUCACUGGUAUCAGAGCCAGAAAUGGCUCCGGCAAGAACCUUGCAAACCACAAUUCUGUCCACCAUUUCGCCUUCUAAUGCUCAGGUCCCAAAUAUUAUAUCUCAUCAACAUUUUCCACCACUUUCACCAACAUCUUCUCGUUUUGACGAGACGAAUAGAUUACAAGUAGAGGAGAUUCGUCAUUUUUUGCAAAAUGAACUUCAUCAUUCAAUUGAGGCUAUCCAUCGCAACCGAGCAUCCUUCCAAAGUGAGAUUGCAUCACAGAUUGCAGUGUUGCAGAACACAAUGAUGCAAGCCUUAACGUUGCGUCCAAUUUCUCAUAACACCCAUCAUGCAGUUACUCAACCAGAAACCGUUUAUAACCACCAGUGCCAACAUGCCAAUUCCAAUUUCUUUACAGCAUCGCCACAAUCGUCCAUCAUUACUUCCAUUCCUUCCAACUCUCACAUUCGUACCAUGUCCAUGAGUAAUUCUUGUAAUAUUUCAUCAACCAAUACAAAUCACCAACCACUACCACCACCAAACACAAGUACCAAUUUCCAACCACUGCCACCCCCAAACAUAAAUGCCAAUAUUAAUCCAAACCCAAACUUUUGGUAACAAGACAUGCCUUUGUUUCGACCUCCAAAAGUGGAUUUACCAUGGUUCCAUGGUGACGACGCAUUGGGAUGGCUCACAAUGGCAGAGAGGUAUUUGCGCUCUCAACGCAUUCCUCCCUUGGAGUAUAUACCGACUGUAACCUCUCACUUCAGACCAGAUGCUUGUAUGUGGAUGAAUUCUUUUGAGGAAAGAAAUCCUUGGGCAACUUGGGAACAAUUUUCUUCUGCCAUCCUCGAACACUAUGGAGCGAGUAGCAUCACCGAUAUUCAAAUUGUUUUGGCAUGCUUGGAGCAAACUACAACAGUAGAUGCUUUCAUUGUUGCUUUUACAAAACUUUCUAGUAGAGCUUAUGGAUGGACUAAAGCACAACUCUUGCCAAAUUUCCUGGGAGGACUGAAACCUGAGAUUUGUCAUGAUGUACAAGUCAUGGAACCAAGAACUUUAGCAGAAGCACAAAGACUGGCGCGGAGAUUAGAAGCAAAAUUGAAUGAUUCUCGGCUACACAGACUUUCUCGACCAUCAGGUGCUUGGUCUUCCUCCUCAAAACAAAACACUAUAGGUUCUCAAAAUUCCUCCAUCAACUGAACCAAUCCUGAUAAUUCAGUGCGACAAUGGGCAGCCAAGGACCAGCGUGAAUGAAGCGCUCAAGGUCUUUGUUUUCACUGCGAUGAAAAAUGGUCAAGAAAUCAUACCUGCAAGAAACCCAUGAUAGCUAUCUUAGAAUCACUUAAUACAGUAGAUGAAGAAGAAUCAGAGGUUUAUGCGCAACAAGACUCAAAUGCAAAACCAAACCAAGAUUUUCCCUUACAUGCUAUUACGAAUUCCACAGUCGGUGAGAUGAUGCGGUUUAAGGGAAAAAUUAAGGGAGUAACAGUGGAUGUCUUUGUUGAUUAUGGGUCGGCCAACAAUCUGUUGAAUAUAUCCACAAGUAGCUGCAAACUUGGGUUUACAGGUUGUACAUGUAGAACAUCUGAAGUUCACAUCACUGACUUGGCAUCCAGUUUCAAUAUUCAAUCAGGCAAUUGACGUACCCGUAGAGAUUCAAGGAUAUGAGUUUAAGAGUUCGUUUCGCUUACUUGAUGUCCCAAAUUGUGAUCUCCUCUUUGGGAGCUCCUUGGCUUGAGUCGUUAGGGAUGAUGGGGUGGCACUUCUUGGAAAAAAUGAUGAUUUUUUAGUAGAGUGGUCCCUGCCAUGUUUUAAAAGGAAUACGACGUCAUCCUGAACAAUACAGCGAUGGUUCGCUAAUGACCUUAAUGUCCUUUGCACAAUUGGAUGAGGAUAUUAUACCACCAGGCCCAACUGAAGAGAGCAGUACAAUACAGGACCCACAAGUACAACAGUUGAUAGAGAAGUUUCAAGGGCUAUUUGCAGUACCAAAAGAAUUACCUCCAGUUAGAUCGGUUGAUCACCGUAUCCCUCUGAAGCCUAAUACAGGUCCAGUCAAUGUUCGACCUUAUCGUUAUCCACACUCACAAAAAUUAGAGUUGGAGUCAUAGGUCAGUGAAAUGCUUUCUACCGGCCUCAUUUGUCCAAGUCAAAGUCCGUUUUCUUCUCCGGUUCUUUUGGUUCGAAAGAAAGAAGGGACAUGGCGAUUAUGUGUUGAUCAUCGUAGUCUCAACGACGCCAUAAUUAAGGACUGAUUUCCUAUUCCGGUGGUUGAUGAACUCUUGGACGAACUUCAUGGUGUAAAGUAUUUUUCCAAAUUGGAUUUGCGUGCUGGUUAACAUCAGAUCCGGAUGUAUGAAGAAGAUACUCACAAGACGGCUUUUCACACACAUGAAGGCCAUUAUGAAUUUGUGGUUAUGCCGUUCGGUCUAUCGAAUGCGUCUUCUACUUUUCAAGCACUUAUGAAUUACAUAUUCCGCUCCGUUCUACGGAAGCAUGUUCUUGUAAUUACAUAUUCCGCUCCGUUCUACAGAAGCAUGUUCUUGUGUUCUUCGAUGAUAUUUUGGUGUAUAGCGCCGAUUUGCCUUCUCAUUUAUCUCACCUGGAGGAAGUUUUCAAGUUAUUGGAGAACAAUGCAUUGAAGGUUAAAAUUUCAAAAUGCAAAUUUGCUGCUCAAUCUGUACAAUAUCUGGGCCACAUUAUCUCUGAGAAAGGAGUCGCAAUAGAUCAGGAGAAAGUAUUAUGCUUGAAAGAAUGGCCAAAACCAACUACAAUAAAAGGAUUGCGCGGCUUCUUGGGAUUAGCCGGGUAUUAUAGAAGGUUUGUACGAGGAUUUGGUCAAAUUGCUCAACCUUUAAAUGCCAUGUUGAAGCAUGACAACUUCAAGUGGACUCCUUUAGCAGAACAAGCUUUUGAGAAGUUGAAAGAUGCCGUGACUUAUGCUCUUGUGCUAGCUAUGCCAAAUUUUCAGGAACCUUUUUUCUUGGAGACAGAUGCUAGUGGUGUCAGCAUUGGCGCAGUCCUGUCACAAAACAAACAUCCAGUGGCCUAUUUGAGUAAAACUCUUUCUCCUAAAAAUCAAGCUUUAUUUGUUUAUGAUAAGGUGAUGAUGGCUAUCCUAUAUGCAGUAGAAAAGUGGUGUCCUUAUCUUUUGGGGAGUAAGUUUACCAUUAUCAUUGAUCAUUGUACCUUGAAGCAUUUAUUGGAUCACAGCAUUUCAACUCCUUCUCAACAUAAAUGGCCGGGCAUAGGUUGCAAAAUUACUUGGUUAUGAUUAUUCCAUUGAGUAUAGGCCGAGAUUGUUAAACAUAGUACCUGAUGCUUUGUCAAGACAGUCUGAACUAUUGGCAUUGCAGUCCAUCUCUGCUCCAGUCUUUGGAAGUUUAAACCUCAUUAGACAAGCUUGUUGAUCGUUCGAUUGUUUCUGAUCGUGAUCCUAUCUUCAUAAGUCAAUUCUGGACAUCUUUUUUCAAGUUGCAAGGAAUAAGUACUCUUUGUCGCAGCUCUGCGUAUCAUCCUCAAUCCGACGGUCAGACAGAAGUUGUUAAUCGAACUUUAGAGCACUACCUUCGAUGUUUUGUUGCAGACAAGCCUGCAUCUUGGGGUGAAUUGAUUCAUUGGGCAGAGUGGUGGUAUAAUACCACAUUUCACUCCACCAUUAAAAUGACUCCCUUUGAAGCCUUGUACGGCCGUCCUCCUCCAUCUAUACAAUGAUACAUGCCUGGUUCAACUAAUGUCCAAGCUGUUGACGCUGCUCUUCGUUCUAGAGAUGAGCUCUUGCAGUCAUUGAAACACAACAUGCAUUUGGCUCAAAAUCGUAUGAAACAACAGGCCAAUAAACAUCGUUCUGAAAGGGAAUUUUCAAUUGGAGAUUGGGUUUACCUUCGUCUGCAUCCUUACAAGUAAAGUUCUUUGUCAAAGCGUACUUCUCAUAAGCUGGCUCCAAAAUAUUUUGGACCAUUUCGUGUGUUAGAACGAAUUGGCUUUGUCGCCUAUCGGUUGGAUUUGCCUACUUCUUCAAAGGUUCAUCCGGUGUUCCAUGUUUCUUUACUGAAGUUGAGGAUUGGUAACUCUGUUAUGACAUUACAGAUUUUGCCACCUAUGCAUAAGCAUGGUUGCUUUACAUAGAGUCCAUUCAAAGUUUUAGAUAUGGAUGUGUUUACCGAAAAAGGCAAAUUAGAAACUUACUGGUUUCUUCAAUGGACGGGGAUGCCUGAGGAAGAUGCGACUUGGGAACUUGCUAAAGCUAUUAUGGCUCAGUUUCCUCAAUUCAGCGACCGAGGACGUCUUGCCUCUCAAUGGGGCGGUAUUGAUGGGAUGCAGUAGCUGCAUAUCUCUUAUUCUUCUGUACUUCCUUUAUUCUAUCUUAGUUCUUUGUCUGUAGUAGGUUUGGGUUAUUAGACCCAGUAUGUAAAAGGUCCAUCUGACCCAAUAGUAGCCCAAUAGUAGGAGUAGUUAUCUCUAGCAAUUAGUAGUUCUCUGGAUAUAUAUCUUUAUUCUGUAAACUGUAUGGGUAUGAAUGAAGAAACCAUCUUAAUACACACACACACACACACACACACACACACACUCUCUCUCUCUCNNNNNNNNNNNNNNNNNNNNNNNNNNNNNNNNNNNNCUCUCUCUCUCUCUCUCUCUCUCUCUCUCUCUCUCUCUCUCUCUCUCUCUCUCUCUCUCUCUCUCUCUCUCUGUGUGUGUGUGUGUGUGUGUGUGUGUGUGUGUGAAAACACAAAAAGUUAGACAUUUUGUAAGGACCGUUUGUUUUACCGCAUAUAAGUCCUGAUAGGAAAAAUUAUUGCCAACCUGAUUGAUAGCGUUUGGGGAGAUGGAUAACUUGCUCCCAGAAAAUAUUUAUCAUGUUAGAGUUUCAUAACAAAUCCAGUUAGAACGGUAAGAUAAAACUUAUCCACCCAGGUUUUCUCUCUUUCUACAACCACGUGUCCAUGUGCUUACUCUGAGAGAAAAUAAAGGUGAAAAGAAAAUAACAAACUACAUAUACCUCUUUCAAAAAGAUUUGAAACACAAAUACAUCUACUAACAAUGUUUUUAAACAAAUAAAGACAAUUUUUAUCAAAUAAGGACAAAUUAUUUUGUGUUUGCCAUGUGUCAUGGUUUAAUUUACCAAACUAACCUUAUACAAAUUAAAUCAAAUUAAAUAAGACCCAGUCAUGUCUUGCUUUAGCUGCUAUUGUACUUGCUGGAAUGUUGCUGCAACUGUUAAGUUAUGCUACAACAGUUUUUGUCAAAUUCUGCUAUUGCAGCACUUUUCCUCAAAUUUUGCUAUUGCGAUAGUACUCGUCAAUUUAGUAGUAUUCUGCAACUGCAAAUCCAAUGAGAAACCCAACUUAAACACCGUAUGCCAACAGUAGCAGCAAGACCUAACCAUCAGUAGCAAUAGCAACAAGACCUGAAAUCUACAACAGUAGCAGCAAGACAUGUACUUGUUGCUACUGCACUUGCUGGAAUGUUGCUGCUACUGAACUUGCCGGAAUGUUGCUGCAACUAUUAAGUUAUGCUACUGCAACAGUUUUCGUCAAAUUCUGCUAUUGCAGUACUUUUCCUCAAAUUUUGCUAUUGCGACAGUACUCGUCAAUUUAGUAGUAUUCUGCAACUGCAAAUCCAAUGAGAAACCCAACUUAAACACCGUCAUGACAACAAUAGCAGCAAGACCUAACCAUCAGUAGUAAUAGCAACCUAAAAUCUACAACAGCAGCAACAAAACCUGAUUGUCAUGGCAACAGUAGCAGUAGCAGCAAGACCUGAAAUCUACAACAGUAGCAACAAAAUUUGAUCGUCAUGACAGCAGUAGUAGUAUAACUUGGACAUAUCCCUCAAAAGCUACCAAUGAGAUCGACUACUCUACCACCACCCCUCUCCAGGUCGUCAAGCUCCACACCGCCUACUUUAAUAUCAUCUACUCUAAAGUAUUAUCACCCAAGAUAGCUUCCCUGCCAUGAGAGAUGAUCUCCAUCGUUGAUUUCUAGAUCGUGCUUAUGAUGUCGUCGAUCACAUGCCCGACUUACUUAAGCGACAAUUGCGCCAUUGACGCGUCGACCUCGAGCGUAAGGACACUACUCAGAUCACUGUUUAGAGGUUUGAGAGAGAGAGAGAGAGAGAGAGAGAGAGAGAGAGAGAGAGAGAGAGAGAGAGAGAGAGAGAGUAGUAGAGAGAGAGNGAGAGAGAGAGAGAGAGAGAGAGAGAUGUAAAUUAGAUCAUGUGUGGAGGAGAAAAAAAUGUGGCAAUAUGUGUAGUUUUAUCAUAAAGUUAGGGUAUAUUGGUUAUUUGAUAGUGAAAGUUUGGAUAUGCCUAACAUUAUUGAUAUUAGGAUUAGGCUUAGUGUCAUUAUUUGUCUAAAUCUUUUUAAAGAUGAGUUUUUUUGUAUUAUGUAACUGUUUGAGGCAGUAGUAUGUUAUAUUCUCAAAAGAAAACCACGUGCUUGUCCAUCUUUCUUCAACCUUCGAACCAGAUCUCCCUUUUCAAAAGUCAUUGAUCGGUACCACCGUACAGAUAACUUGAUUCUCUUAUUGCCGGCAACCACGACUACCCUCGUCUCAUCUUCAAUCAUCAAGACAACCUGAUCCUUUAAUUGCCGUCGCAUGUACAACAAGUCUGCAACAAAAUGAAAUCGCCGGAAUCAAUGUCAGUUGCCGCCAGCGAUGAGUUCUUCUAAUGGGUCUCUACCAUAGUGAAUUCAAUUGACCUGGAAUCGCUUGUUUCCAUCGAGCCAAAAAAAAUUUCGUUGGGUUGAGUUUUUGUUUUUCUUUAAUUUAAGUUUAUCCGAUCCAGCUUGUUUACUGUUAAGAUCUAAGAUCUAAACAUUGAUUUAAGAUCUAAGCCUUCAAAUCCAAUCUGUUUCCAUUCCAAUCGAAGUCUGACAUGGAUACUGAUCUUUUCCAGUCAGGUCUACCAAACACGGCCUAAGAGUCUAUAGAGUUGUUGGGAAUUUCAGGAUCUGUUUUUGUCUAAGUUGCACAGACACAAUGAUACGAUACGGCACGACACGGCGACAAGGCAAAACUCAAAAACUGAGUUUCCGACAUGGCAAACAGAAUUAUAUAUUUAUAUAUUUUUAAUAAAUAAAAAAUACUAAAUUAUAAUUAUACACAAAAUUUUAUAUAAUUAUACAGAAAAAAAUUAUUUACGACACGUCACGUCAUAAUUAUAAUCUCAUAUAAUUAUGCAGAGAUCGAAUGGGCGAUGUUUUCUUCGUCCGCGUCGUUUCUUGAGUUUCCUCUUCUUUUUUUGAUCAAAAGGAAAUGUUUAUUCAUGAGGAGAGAACCUGAGUUUCCUCUCUUUGUUUGUGUGCAAAUGCUCGACGGAUCUUUACUGCGCCAAUUUAUUUAUUUAUUUAUUUGUAAUUUUUUUUAAGUGAGAAAAACUGAUGUGACAUGUCGUAAAUAGACGUGUCGGGCCAGUUAACGUGUCGGACACUUUUUUUUACCGUGUCAAACUCGUGUCUGCAUGUCGGGAGUGUCCGACACUCCACCCAUGUGAAGUGUUCGUGCAACAUAGGUUUUUGUUAGUGGGAAAAAAAUCCCUAAAUUUAGAGCUAGUGGGUAUUUCCCAUAUUUUUAUUUGUACAAAGGCAAAUUAAUGAUGAUACUCAUGAUAGCAGAAUUGCAUGAAGUUUUGGAAUCUCUGGAGUACUCAAACUAAUGGGAUUGCAGACAAGUAAUGCAACUAUCCUUAAACCAAGGUACCGUGGAUCUCAAGUAUACUACUACCUAGUGUCAACUAAUUAAUCUACAUGAUUACAAAUCAUAUUAUCCAUAAUCAUCAACAUUCCUUUCAGCUCAGCACGUCUUCAUACUCAUCGAUCACGGCAACAAUUGUCUUCUGACGAACCUCUUGCACAGUUAUUGCACCCCAGCAAUGCAUAGGGCACUAACUUUCUUUAUCGUGUCCCUCUUGAUAUACUGCAUAUAUACCAAGCACAGCAUGUGUUAAUCUAUAGGGUAGAAAGUAGAAACAAUACGGUCAUCAUGAGUAGAAUUUAAAUAAUAUAUACAAGUUUUUUCUCGUACCUCGUUUGCUGUGGAUAUAACAUGCUCAUCUACAAUGAUUAUACCAUCAAGAAACUCAGCGCAAAUGGAGAAGCAUUCUUCACCAAUGGCUUCUACUAGUACUUCCCCAUUUUGUUUCUCAAGUAGAACUCUCUUGCCUUUAUGGAAUGACCAUGCCAUUACACUUCUAGUGCGCUCCUCCACACCAAAAACUUUUACCUGCCACAUGAUAUCAACUUAGUUUGAUGCAUAAAACGUAGAAAUUCAAGUUCAACACUAAGAAAUAACCAUAAGGUAACAAACCUUUGGGAAAACCCUCUUUACGUAUGCGGCAAUUCCAGCAAUACGGUUCCCAUCACCGACAGGAACGAAAAUUGCAUGAAGAUUAUCAAUUUUUCCAUCUCCAACCAUUUGAGUGAUUAUCUCCACCCCAAUGGUUCCAUACCCUGUAAUAAUGUCGGUGUGGUCGCGUGAAGGUACAUAGAUUAUGUUUUGAUUUGUAGCAACCUUUUUGGCAUAACCAUCGGAUUCUUGAAUGCAAGUCCCUUUGAAAGCCUUAUAGCAUUGCUUUUUAUCUAAAACAACUUUAAUUUUCUCCCUAUCAUUCUUCGCAAACAAGAAUUGAACAAAAGUUAUACUCCAUUUCAAAUUCAGAAAUUACCAAAGAUCAAAUGGACAUAGAUCACAAAAUCUAAUCUACUUUAUUUGCAUUAAGUAGGCAUAUUUGGGAUCACAACAAGUGAAAGUACCUGUUCAGCAGAAAAAUAAUCAACUGGGAUCGCAACCCUGGCUUCUGAAUUCAAGAGUUGUGCUACACAUGCUACUGUCACUGCAUGUUUUCCAACUGUGCAUAUAAAUGCCCUCCUCUGCAUUUCAUUCAGUGCAUUUGCCAUGAAGUUAUAGGUCCCUCUCCAUCUGUAGGAUGAACCCUGCAUACAUCACAACAUUAGGAACCUAAAACAACUAUGAAUCAAAGCAACAUUAGGAACAAUAGAUAUACUAUAAGUUAUGUGUACUCACAAGUUCCUUCGAGCAGCAGUCUUCUCUUUUGAGUAAUAUCUGUACUUCUUCUGGGGUUGAACUGAACUCACGAGAACAUGUAUGGACUGGUUCUAGGUCCUGUCUUUGAGCAAACUUGCACUCAUAAAUUCUUGACGAGAGUAUGCCACUUAGAAACUUUGGGGAAUUUUCUACAUUAGUGUGUUCAAGGCAAUGCUUCCUCAAUGUUGGGUUAGCUUCGACAAGAGUACCUUUAUCAAAUUCCUGCCCUGGAACUAUCCUUGUCUUCUUACCGUUCCAGAUGCAAACCGCACAAAUCCAAUGCCUAAAACACAACUGAAGCAUCAGUAUACAUGCACAUCAAACAAAACAAUACAAAAGAAAAGAUCAAAAGGAACAUGAAAUAGAGAGAGAGGGAGAGGGAAGUUAAUGAAAAACCACCUGUGUCCACAUAGGUAAGAUGUAGCACUACUAACAACUGCAGUCCCUAAAGGAAGCCACACUGAGGCAAACAACUUCCCAGCAGUGGCUGAGAAAUGGAACUCUCCAUAUCCAAUAGUAUAUGCAGAGACCACAGAAAAAUAGGUUGCAUUUACCACAGAAAAAUCGGUUGCAUUUAACACAGAACAAUCGGUUGCAUUAACUCCAUUGUGAUUCGGCUGCGUUGUGUCACUCAUCUCCUUUGCAUCCCAGAUCCAUAUCCCUAAAAUUCCAGUGCCAAGUGCCAACGACAAACAAUAUCCAAACUAUUGCGAAGAAGGAUUUCCACAUCUGUUUUGUCUUGUCACUAGUGGUAUUGAUAGACUGGAAAAACCACUUCUCCAACUUAUCCCCUACCGAAUUUACCAAAUUUCCAACUGGGUUACCAAAGACAGUACUCAUUACAGUACCCAGUAAAACAAAAGCAACCACCAGACACUUGGCUACAUUUGUAUCAGGAGUCACAUUGCCGUACCCAAUGGUAGUCACGGUGACAAUGACAAACAGUAAGGAGUCGAGGAAACUCGGACGGGCCUCAAAGGAAAGUGUGAUCAGAUACCCUCCUAAUAGGUAGAGAAGAUAUAGGCUUAUACGGAGGGCAAUACAAAAGAACCUGGAUGUCAGCAGUUUCCUGACAUAAAUAAAAUGAAAACAAAAUAUGAGACAAACUGACAAGGUAUAGUGUCAGUUCAUGAAUUUUGCACAAUAUUGAGCUAUAAUGCUAUAUCUAUAGACUACAGUGAUGCAGGGGAGACCUUUAGAACAAUCUUCUCUUACUGGAUUCUAGGAAAUUCAAUUUAGCCGAGAAAUCUGGUACUUUAGGACCAUUAAGGAUUUUAUGAAAUCAACCACAGAGAAUCAAGUAGGAGGAUUUAUAAUAUUUUUAUAGUACUAGCAUCGAGCUACAGGGUCCUAGGUAUCCAACACAGUGGCCUUAGAACCAUAACCUUAUCAGGCAAUUCAUGUAAAUCAAAAACCAUUUCACCGAGAAACUUGAAAAUAGAAAAUCCUCUGAACAAAAAGCCUGUCAUGUAUGAGGUUUCACAUGCUGAAUGCUAUCAAUGCAUAAUUGAAACAACAAAACCACAAUGUGCAAUAACUUUUGGACAUCAAUAAGUUGUAAUAAGUUAAGGAUCACUGAGCAGAGAUGAUGUAGAGCUGUAUAGAAUAGGUGUUUUCUUAAUAAGAUGAAACAGCAGAUUGACGGCUUACAUGGUUAUCAAAGGGAACAUAUAAUAACAAAAGCUUGCGACACAGUUCAACAGCUGUGGAAAAGCGACCACCAAGUACACCUGCAAUUUAUAUAAAGGAAUAAGAACAUGGCUAAGCAUGAAGUUGGAUAAUGCAUGAUAAAAUAGUGCAGUCUGCACUAUUUUACUCUAUGUCGAUUAAUUGCAGGACAAGUAGGGGACAACAUUUAUUGAGAACUAAUUCUCGAUUGUCUAUCAAGUUCCAGAAGAAGCAGAACCGAAAAUCGAUCACAUCUAUAACAGAACAACGUACUGGUGGCUAUAAUGGACACAAGUUGAGGAAGCAGAACCAAAUAUCGAGAAAUCAAUUGAUAGAAUGCAUAAUAUACAGAGUUUGAUGCCUCCUGCUGUUACAGAAAUUCUAUAUAUGAACAAUCAUCAACUCAUGCUAUGCCCAAUCUCAUAUAUAUUGUCUAUAUUUUGCCUUAAUUUUACUGUUACAGGUACCAAAGCUCACAAAUCGAUAUUUCAGUGAAGAACAAAUCGCAAUUUCGCAAGGUCAACACCAGAAUCAGAAUCAAUUGACCAAAUUUACAUUUAAGACUUUGCGGACUGAAGAUCGGAAGCUUACCUUGAUAGUGUCGUGAUCGGGGACUCAGGGGAAGGUCAGGCAACUCCGAUCAGCUUGAGGCUUCCUCCGAUUGUUCAUCUAGGUCAGUGAAGAGAUAGAAUCAGAUCAUAUCAAGAAAACAGAACUGGAAUUAGUCCGUAAUCGAAACUUACGGUGAUUCUUCCUUACCGGGUUCAUCCUCCAUGGAUGACCUUCAAUUCUCCACCUUGCUCUUCGUCUAGGUCUUCUCUCUCUUCGCUUCGCUUCUCUUCUCUUCUCUUCUCUUCUCUUCUCAGUCUUCUCUCGCUUCGCUUUGCUUCUCUUAUCGUCUCCGAUAAACGAGGAUUCAAAAAUGCGAAAGUAGCGGAAAAAAACGACGCCGACUCCUAGUUGGGAGGGAAAAUCAAUUGGGCCAAAGCCCACUAUUUUUAUUUCCACCGUUCUACUUUCACCAAAGGUAAAUAGUUUACACUUUAACACUAGGUCACCUUGAUCCCUUUUUUCUUUUCUUUUUUUUGUAAAAAAAAUUCAUUUAUAAUACCGAUACACCUCGAAAUGGUAAUUAUUGAAGCUAGAAUUUUGUGUUAGAUAGAUCAAGAUCAUUGUAGUAAAAUUUUUGUUUGAUUGGAAUACGUGUUAUAUAGACCCAGAAGCACCAAAAUCGCCGCCAUAAACAGUGAACUCCGACGAAGCCCGAUGACAGCGGAAAACACAAAUCGUCAAAACUCUAUCGAGAUUCGAAAACCAAUUAUACCAGCAGAUAGAACGUGAGGAGGAGGUCGGAUUUCAUACCUCAGGCAGAGUAACUCGCCGACGGAGUCAACGGAAAAUGCAGAAAACACCGCCGGAAAGUCAGAGUUUCUGCCUUCGUCUCUCCCUACACCCCAGCAGCUGAACGAACCUAGAAGGAUGUCGACGAUGACGAGAACAAAAUAGUACCAGUGCGCCGCCAUGAAGUGACCGGAAGACGGAGAUAGACACGGUCGCCGGCGCGGGUCGUCAGUCUCGAGCUCGCUCACUAACCUUAACCUUCUGGAGCGUUCUGAUGUGUGCGAUCAACACUACCCGUUAUAUACUUUAUGUCAAUGGUUGAGAUUAAAUCGUGGUUGAGCCCAACGGUUUAUAUAGCGCACCUCUUUUUAUAAAAUAAAUAAAUUUCUUUUGUUACCAAACUUCCGAAGUACAAAGACCUUCGACCAAACUUCCAUGAAAAAUUCCACCGAGUCCGUAAUAAAGCUUACUUCAUUAUCAAACCUUUAUAAACUGAAGAUUUUACUUUGAAAUUUUACAAAAUUUUUCCGAAGGUCCUUGUUAAUCAACGAAACUCUAAAUCAAAUUUUUAACAUUCAACUUUAACUCUUCAAAUAUUUCCGGUGAUGCACACCACAUACAGACUUGAACUGACCAAUUCAUUGGCAAACCACACACACAAUAGUGUCAUCGGAAGUAGAGUAUGAUAUAACGUCUCAAAACAAAUUUUCAAUAUAUAGAAUAAUCACAGAUGGUCGGGUUUGAAAGAAUCUAGGAGAAACCUCUGUACCUAUGUUCGAAUCUUCCAACGGCGUGAGGUUCAAGUACCAUGGGAUAGUUAGCAAACAUCGAGAAGUAUAAGCACUCAAAGCAGGCCUGUACCUGAGGGGAGGCUUGAGAGGUCGCCGCCUCAAGCACAAUAAAGUCGAGGGCAAAAAAAAAAAAAUUUGUAUAUGUGUACAUAUAUAUAAUUUUUAUAAAAAUUUUAAAUUUUGUCUUCUUUCUCAGUUUCUCGUGUUCAUUAUAUUUUACCAAUAUUAGAAUACUUCUUGAAUUUAUAUUCAAGUUUGCACAUUUACUGUGUUAAUUAUACACAUCUUGUAAUCAGCGAAAUUUCUUUUUAUAACGGUCAUUAUUUUUUCUUUUUUCGUAUAACCGUUAAAGGACAUCAUUUUUAAAAUUCGCCUCAGGUCUUUAAAUCUCAGAUCUGACCCUGACUCAGCACAAAGCCUCUCAUUCUCAAAGUAUGACGUACGCAAAUACGCAUUAAUCACUUGUGUUAGGCAUAUAAAAACACUGUAGCCACGACAAAUCGCUGUAGCUUGCAGAAAUAAUUGUAUAUGAAUAUUGCUUGGGAAACUCGAUUGUCCAGUCGAGAAUUGUUAACCUACUACAUAGUUGUUGAUCUAGCAGUUGAUGAUGAAUACACCUGAUCACUAAAUUGAAUGCCAUAAUCUCGCCAUGCUUGCAAGUUGCAACCUCCAUGACCGGUCAGUCGGCCUGCCACUGUUUCUACAAUGCAAAUUAGAAACAAGGAUUUAGACACUGCCAUAGUCCAAGCACCCGUUAUUAUUGGCUCCAAGAAGCAUCAGUUAUUAUCAUCCAGCCAGGCUUGCGAGAUUAGUGAGAAAAAAAUUCCUCUAGAGAGAGAGGUGUUACCACUUUAGUUAGUCUAGAGUGAGUGUUUCUUGUAAUCUCAUUAUUUAGUAUAAUAGAAGAAAGUACUACGGUUGUCCCGAGGAGAUAGGCACAUUUGCCGAGUCUCAUUAAACAUUGUGUCUUUUUUUGUUGCUAUUUUUGUAAACAAAGAAGCGGUGAAAAAAUUAGAUCCUGGAAUAAAUAAUUAUCCGUCGACCUUAUAAUAGGCGGCCACUUUUUUCUUAAUGGUUGCUUGAUUAUGAGAAGACACAAAAAUAAAUGAUUAUGGGCAUUAUUCUAUAAGAUUAGUGCUUGUUGGUGUCUCCCGCAAAAUAUGAAAAUUUGUUCAGAAGCCUCAAGUACCUGAUUUGAGGAAUCUUCAUCAAGACGUGAGUGAAUUUGUCUUAAAGCCUGGUUCUGGAUCAGAAAGUAAAGGAGAUGAAUUUGAAGAAGCAGCAACGGUAACUUUGGCUAGUGAUCUGGGUAGGGCUACUCGAGCUUCAUCAUAAAGUGCUAUCAAGCUCCAAGAGAUAGGACCCGGCCACGAUGACUCUUUGCAUGAUUAAGGUGGAGAAAUGAGAAUGGAUUGAUUCCCAUGAGUACAUGUCUGAUUUCUUGAGACACAUGCAUAUAUAAUUUCAACAAGUUAACUAAUAACGGAUUAAGAAAAAAAAAAGUUCUUAAUUGCACGCGUACGUAAUUGGGAUAGCAGUAAUAGCACAUAACUGAAUAACCCAAGCCAAGAGUUAUUCAAUGAAAUGAUAAACUUAAGAGACUAGUGGAAACCAACCAAGUCCAUACGGCGAAUCGUUAUUUCCAUCAAUGUAAUUGUCUGCUGAAAAAUAGUCGGUUUUUCCAUCAGCUAAGUUAUAGAUGCCAAUCACUAAAUGACCAGUCGUGUUUGUUGCAUAAUAUAUGCAGUUUCCACCUCCGACUCCAUCAAACGCCUUGUCCUUCAAUACCGCUGACACUGAACUGGUUAGCUUGGACAAUGGAAUCGAGAUAUGUCUGUUCAAGCGUAAGAAACUAUAAUAUGGAUUAACGAACAUUGUCUGGUUUUCAAGAGUAGUCUCUGUCAAUGCAGGUUCGGGGCCAAGGUCUAACUUGAACACCCAAAAUGGUGCAUCUGGAUUCUGUAGACGAAGUUGGGAGUGUUUAUCUGUACCAUUAUGCCGAUUCCAUACAAGCAAAAUUUCACCUUCAGAAGCUAUCAUGAAGUAAGGAUUAGCCUCAAUUCCAUACAGAUUCAUGUGUCCUGCAAUUAAACUUCCAAUUUCAAAUUGCUUGCCUACGUAGAUCUGACUUUUGGCUUUUGAAAAAACCUCUAGGGGAUCAAAAACAACUACAUAUCGAACACCAUAUCCCCCUUUAGCGAAUGCGUACAACUUCCCAUCCUUAUGGAAUUGAAGCUCAUCAAAACGAAUUUCAUAUUUGGGGCCUGAUUGGUAAGUCCAUGAUUUGUCACCUGGCCUGCAAAACGCCAACCUGUAUGUGAGUGGUGUUAGUAUUGUAGCUACAAUGCAGUCAGAAGAUUUCGGGUUUGAGGAGGCUGCAGAUAUCAUGGAUGAUUCAUUGGAGGGUGGCAGCAUAAUCCGAGCACCUGUAAUCGGGUUCGACAAGUAGUUGAUGCUCCAUCCAUAAGGAGUGUAGCUAGUCGACUUUUGCAUUUUAUAAUCUCUCAUGAUCAAAUAUCCAUCAAUACACCCUAGGAAGGAUGUAUAAUACGAAGGAUCCGCAGUUGCUUUUGGAAACGUAAAAUUAUAGACACUGUCUUCACUUGGACUAUAGAGACUACAGAGUACAGUUGACGAGUCCACAGACCGAACCCAUUUCAAGAUCCAUGGAAAAAGGGUGGCACGUUGACACCAUUUUGACGACGCUCUUCUCCAUGAUGUACACACAGCAGAGAACUUUUGUGAAUCAAUAAGUGAUAACCGCUUCAGCAACAUCUCGAUCAAGUCAUCCGGAAGAUGUUCAGACCACCUAUUCGAGACAGAGACUACUCCAUGGCGGGCACUUUCACCAUCUCCUAAUUCCAAUUGACGGCAAAGUUUAUUUUUCAAUGUGUCAUCUUCAAAACUUGUUGCAUUAAUUCUACCAUCAACUCUACUGCAACUGAUACCCAUUGUCGAUCUUCUGAAGUUAUAUUCUUGAUUGAUUGGGCCUGGAAAAAAAAGAAGAAGAUCAACUAGUUAAUCAAGUAUACCUGCACAAGCUGUUCACAGGAUCGAAUAGGGAUAAAAAGAUAAAUUAAAUUAGUGCAACAAGGCUUGCAAGUUGCAAACGCCUCAUAAUCUACCAUAAUCAUACCCAACAUAAGUUUAACAACUAACCAAACUAGCUUCAAAUCGAGCAAGUAGCAUGUAACAAUCAUGUAAUCAAAGAUGGAGAGUACUGAUGUUAAGUACUACUUACAUUCGACUUAUCUUAUAGAAUUGCCUACACCAACAAAACCAGAACAAUUAGUUCUUAUUAGGGUUUGGAGUUUUAGCACUUCUCUAUCUCUAUAAAUAAUGAAGGAGUAUUCCUUAUAUAUAUAUAUGCUACUAGGGUUUCGGCUGUCCUUCGCCACGAUGGGAUUAUAUACAGGAUUUACUUCUUCUUUUUUUCUUUUUUCUUUUUUUUCUUUUUUUUAUAUACAGGAUUUACUUCUUAACUGAGUUGUUCUAUCUUACACAAAGUUGUGUCUUCUUGUACAAUAUGGCUAAAGCGAUGCUGUGACCAAAGGUCCUAAACCAUGAAAUAGACUUACAACUUAUGACAUUAGAUGAAUAUCCAAAUUUACAUUUGGGGUCAAACAAGGAGAGCGCUUUCAAGGCCAUAUAUAUCUAGCCAAGUCCAAGGAUAAAGCUAGCAUGGGUGCUGCGAUAUAUCAUAUAUGUGCAGCAUGCGGUGGCGGAAAUUUGGGAGGCAAGCACCGAGCCAGUUGCAUGUUGAUGGCGACACCCUUGGGAGAGCCCUAGUUUCGGGUAGUUUCUAGGUCAUUGAAUAAACUAGGGUUAGAACAUGGUUCACACUCGGUUUUUCUUGUGUUGCUUUGGUAUCUAGAGUUUGUUACAUGUUAGGUUGCCCAAUGCUCUUUUUCAUUUGGUUAUAUAGGCUCUCUAAUGAUAGCUCAAACUUAUUUUCUAAAAAAAAAACAAAAUGAUAGCUCAAACUUGUCAUGUAUAAACCUUUGUGAUAUUUAGUAUAUUACAACUUCUAUCUUUAAUGGAUUGACAACCACAUCACUUGAAAAAGAAAUGCAUGUUAAGCAUUCUUAUAUGGCCAAAUUUCAAAGAGUUCAAAAUAAUACUGCUCAGAACUGUAGCUUUUAUGAUGUAGAACAAUAGGAGAAGCAAGUUAGUGUUGAUUUCUGGCUACAACAAGCUCAUUAGUACUCUUACAGUAAUUAAACUAGAUCAAUUCUAUACGAUAGGCUCCACACAGCUGAGAUCCGCCACUUCAGCUCUACUUCACUACUGCUAGCAUUCUUAGGCCUAAAUCAAACCCCAGUUAACACUAAAUUCACUCAUCAAUGACAGCAACAAUAUUCUUGUUGCAAACCUCUCCCACAUACUUAGAGCAGUAACAUUGCACCCCAGCAAUGCAUAGGGCACUAACAUCCCCUCCUAUGUCCUUGGUGAUCUGCAUAUAUACCAAGUAUGACAUGUGUUAAUCCAUAGGGCUAGAAAGUAGAAACAAGACGGUCACCAUGAGCAGCAUUUCAAUAAUAUAUACAAGUUUUUUCUCGUACCUCCUCAUUUGCUGUGGAUAUAGCAUGCUCAUCUACAAUCAUUAUACCAUCAAGAAACUCAACGCAAAUGGAGAAGCAUUCUUCACCAAUGGCUUCUACUAGUACUUCUCCAUUUUGUUUCACAAAUAAGACUCUCUUGUCUUUAUAGAAUGACCAUGCCAUUACACUUCUAUUGCUCUCCUCCACACCGAAAACUUUUACCUGCCACAUGAUAUCAGCUUGGUCUGAGGCAUAAAACGUAGAAAUUCAAGUUCAACACUAAGAAAUAACCAUAAGGUAACAAACCUUUGGGAAAACUCUCUUUAUGUACGCAGCAAUUCCAGCAAUAUGGUUGCCAUCACCAAUGGGGACGAAAAUUGCAUGGAGAUUAUCAAUUUUUCCACCUCUAACCAUUUGAGUGAUUAUCUCCACCCCAAUGGUUCCAUAGCCAGUGAUGAUGUCGGUGUGGUCACAUGAAGGUACGUAGGUUGAAUUUUCAGUUGCAGCAAUAGAUUUGGCAUGGUCAUCGGAUUCUUGAAUGCAAGUCCCGCGAGAGACCAAAAUGGCUGCAUACUUUACUAUAUCUUCUAUUAAUUUCCUCCUAACAACCUUUGCAAACAAGAAUUGAACAAGGCUUAUACUCCAUUUCCAAUUCAGAAAAAACCAAAUAUCAUAUGGAUAUGAUCACCAAAUCUAAUUUAUUUUAUUUGCAUUAAGUAGGCAUACAUGCAUGUCUUCCAAGAGUCACUUAGCUAGAAAGUAGAUCAUUGGGGAUCACAACAAGUGAAAGUACCUGUUCUGGCUGUUCUGGCAGUUCUGGCAGUGGAGGAGGAAUAUAACUAUUUGGGGUUGCAACCGUGCAGGAUAAAUGUGCAUGUGAAUCCCCUCCUCUCCUUUUCAAUCAGUGCAUUUGCCAUGAAGUUAUAAGUCCCUCUCCAUUUGUAGGAUGAACCCUGCAUACAUCACAACAUUAGGAACCUAAAACAACUAUGAAUGAAAGCAACAUUAGGAACAGGAGAUAUACUAUAAGUAUAUUUGUACUCACAAGUUCUCUAUUGAGUAAUAUCUCUACUUCUUCUGGGCUUGAACUGCACGCACGAGAAAAUGCAGGGGCUGGUACUAGGUCCCGCCUUUGAACAAACUCACAUUCAUAGAUUCUUGACGAGAGUAUGGCACUUAGAAACUUUAGGGAAGUUUCUGCAUCUGUGUGUUCAAGGCAAUGCUUUUUCAAUAUUGGGUUAGCUUCAACAAGAAUACCAUUCCCAAAUACUAGCCCUGGAACUAUCAUUGUCUCGACCUCCAUCAAUGAUUUGGUCUUCUUAUCCUUCCAGAUGCAAACCGCACAAAGCCUAAAACACAACUGAAGCAUCAGUAUACAUGCACAUCAAACUAAACAAUAUAAAAGAAAAGAUCAAAAGGAACAUGUAACAGAGAGAGAGGGCGAGGGAGAGGGAAGUUCAUAAAAACCCACCUGUGUCCACAUAAGUAAGAUGUAGCACUACCAACAAUUGCAGUCCCUAAAGGAAGCCACACUAAGGCAAACCUCUUCCCAGCAGUGGCUGAGAAAUGGAAGUCUCCAUAUCCAAUCGUAUAUGCAGAAAUUACAGAAAAAUAGGUUGCAUUAACCAGAUGGGUUGCAUUGACUCCAUUGUGAUUCGUUGCAUUUGCUCCAUUGUGAUUCGUUGCAUUAACUCCAUUGUGAUUCAUCUUCGUUGUGUCGUCCCAGAUCCAUAUCCCUAAAAAUCCAGUGCCAACGACAAACACUAUCCAACCUAUUGCGAAGAAGAAUUUCAACUUCUGUUUUGUCUUGUCACUAGUGGUCUUGAUAGACUUGAAAAACCACUUCUCCAACUUAUCCCCUACCGCAUUAACCAAAUCUCCAAGUGGAUUACCAAAGACGGCACUCAUUACAGUACCCAGUAAAACAAAAGCAACCACUAAAUACUUGGCUACAUUUGUAUUAGGAGUCACAUUGCCAUACCCAAUGGUUGUCACGGUGACAAUGACAAACAAUAAGGAGUCGAGGAAACUCGGAGGGGGCUCAAAGGAAAAUGUGAUCAGAUACCCAAAAAUUAGGUAGGCAAGAUAUAGGCUUGUACAGAGGGCAAUACAAUAGAACCUGCAUGUAAACAGUUUCCUGACAUAUAUAGAAUGAAAACAAAAUAUGAGAUAAAAGUAUAGUGUGAGUUCAUGAAUUUUGCACAAUAUUGAGCUAUAUCUAUAGUGAUGCAGGGGAGACCUUUAGAACAAUGUUCUCUUACUGGAUUCUAGGAAAUUCAAUUUAGCCGAGAAAUAUGGUACUUUAGAGCCAUUAAGGAUUUUAUGAAACCAACCAUGCACAGAGAAUCAAGUAAGUAGGAAGAAUUAUAGUAUUCUAGCAUUGAGCUACAGGGUCCUAGGUAUCCCACACAGUGGCCUUAGAAACAUAACCUUAUCAGGCAAUUCAUGCAAAUCAAAAACCAUUUCACCAAGCAACUUGAAAAUAGAAAAAUCUCUGAACAAAAAGACUUAUGUUUAUGAGGCCGGUUUCACAUGCUGAAUGCAAUCAAUGCAAAAUCGAAACAACAAAACUGCAAUGUGCAGUAACUUCUAGACCUCAAUAAAUUGUAAUGAGUUAAGGAUCACUGUGCAGAGAUUAUGUAGAGCUGUGUAGAAUAGGUGUUUGCUUAAUAAAAUGAAACUGCAGUCUGAUAGCUUACAUGGUUGUCAAAGGGAACAUAUAACAGCAAAAGCCUGCGACAAAGUUCAACAGCUGUGGAAAAUUGACCACCAAGUACACCUGCAAGUUAUAUAUAGGAAUAAGAACAUGGCUAAUGAUAAAGUUUGAUAUAUGCAUGCAGUAUGCACUAUUUUACGCUAUGUUGAUUAUGAUGCAGGACAAGUAGGGGACGACAUUUAUUGAGAACUAAUUCUCGAUUGUAUAUCAAGUUCCAAGUCAUUAGGAAGAAUGAAAAAAAAGAGAGAACAAACAUACAUCAGAAAACUUUGAGGAAAUCAACUUAACACGUGAAGUACCAUAGCGCAUUGAAGUUAUUGAUGCAAAAGUAGAGGAAAUCAACCCGAAAGAGGGUCUUGGAAAAGCAGAUUCCAACAGCUUUAGAUGAAGGUGAAACAGACUCGAAGGAAGUUGAAAUAGACAUAAAGGAGCGAGCAGGAGGAGACAAAAGGGUGUAGAACCAUCUUAAUUGAUGAAAAGGUCCUGGACCUUAACAACAUCCGUGUACAAGAGCAAGAGAAUUUUAACUCUAAUGAGAACUUGUACAGUCAGAUUCCAACAACAGUAGGCACUUGAACAAGGAGCACAUAAAAUGCACUUAAACUGCUGCUGAUAACAAUGGACAUCUUAAGAGAUUCAAGAUAGCAAACAUCUUAGGAUGAGACUGCAAGCAGAGGAAAAAACCCGAAGAAGCAGAACCAAAAAUCGAUCACAUCUAUAGCAGAACAACGUACUGGUGGCUAUAAUGGACACCAGUUGAGGAAGCAGAACCAGAUAUCGACAAUCGCGAAAUUGAAAUGAUAGAAUGCUAUAAACAGUAUCAUGAAUACAUAAUAUACAGAGUUUGAUACCUCCUGCUGUUACAGAUAACCUAGAUAUGCACAAUCAUCAACUCUUACUAUGCAACCGCACCCAAUCUCAUACAUAUUGUCUAUAUUUUGCCUAAUUUCACUGUUACAGGUACCAAAGCUCGAUCACAAGUCGAUAUUUCAGUGAUAGUGUAAAGAAAUUGAUCAAGGUCAACACUAGAAUCAUAAUCAAUUGACUAAAGAAAUUGCGGACUGAAGAUCCGAAGCUUACCGUGAUAGUGUUGUGAUCGGGGACUCAGGUGAAGGUAAGGCGAUUCCGAUCAGCUUGAAGCUUUCUCCGAUUGUUCAUCUAGGUUAGCGAAGAAAGAGAAACAGAUCUGGAUCAGUAUCGCAAAAAUUGAAAUUGAAUUCGUCCAUACAAAUCAGAACUUACAGCGGCUACUUACCGGAUUCAUCCUCCAUUGUUGAUCGAGCUUCGAUUUCUCCGCCUCGCUCUUCGUCGUCUAAGUCCUUCUACUCUUUCUCUCUUCGCUUCUCAGUCUUCUCUCUCUUCGCGUCGCUUCGCUUCUCUUCUCUUUUCUUCUCUUUCCGAUAUAUGUGGAUUUCGAAAAUGAGAAAAUAGCGGAAAACGACGCCGGCUCCUAGUCUUGGGAGGGAAAAUCAAUAGCGGGCCGGUGGAUCACCUCUUUUCUUUCUUGCAAUUUAGGCGAAAGCCCACUUCUUUUUAUCAUCCACCUUUCCACUUUCAACCAAAAGAUAAAUAGUUUACUCAUUAACACUAGGUCAGCUUGACCUCUGUUUUUUUUGUUUUGGUAUUUUGUUCGGGGGCAUAAAACAACCCCAAAGUAAAUACACCUCAAAAUAGUGAGAAGACGGUGCGAGAGAGAGAGACACUGAAAAUGUCUUGAAUAGAAAAAGACUUUGUGUAGUACCAAGCUUUAUCAUUUAGCCCUUCGGCCCUGACCCUCAUCAAUGACGAUGGUGACGAGACUAAUAAAAUAGUACCGGUGCGCCGCCAUGAAGUGAUCGGACGAAGAUAGGUUUGGUCGUCAGCGCGGGUCUUCAGUCUCGAGCUCACUAAGCUUCUUGAGCGUUCUGAUACGUACGAUAUACAUUACCUUUUAUAUACUUGAACAUAACAGUUGAGAUUAAAUCGUGGUUGAAACCAACGCUUAUGUCGCAUCUCUUUUUGUUAAAUAAAUUUCCUUAUUAGCAAACUUCCUAAAUACCAAAGAAAUGCCUUCGACUUUCGAAAAGCUUUCAUGAAAAUUACCACCGACUCUAUCAUAAUUCAUAAACUCAUAAAACAUAUACUUCAUUAUCAGACCAUAAACUAAAGAUUUCACAUCUAAUUUUUCUGAAGGUGCUUAACAAUCAUCGAAACCCCAAAUCAAAUCUCUAACCAUUCAACUUUUGUUCUUCAAAUAUUUCCGAUGCAUACAUAACUAAUUGACUUGAAUAGACCAAUAAUUCAUAGGCAAACUGUGAGACCCCGUAAAGUUAUGACUUUAUGAAAUUGAAGUCUUGAUAAUUCCUAGUAAACGAUUUCUAUAGUAGACGGACAUUGCUCGAUUUAGUUGAAUUCGAGAGGUUUCAUUUUUGAAUUGGGCCUAUAGUGUAGGCUUGGAAUAACCCGAUUGGGUCACAUGUUUGGGCUUAAGGAGGGCAACAUUGUAAUUUUAUAUAUAUGAGCAACAAAUUAAUAAGCUUUGAUCAGAAUGACCAGAAGCUUCUCCCGUUUUCUCUCCCUCUCUUACGAACACUCUUUCUUUCUGUCUGUCUCUCUGUUCAUGUUCAAGAAGACAAGGCUGCUAAAUAUUCAUGGUGGGAUGUUAAUCUUCAGUUCAAGGAUACAACAGAGAUGGAGUUUGGGUCGUUUAGCUAUGUACCGUCGACACCGAUUUGAGUUGUAGAAAGCCACAGGCAUGAACGUUAUUCUUCUUCUCUUAGCAUAUUGAGGUAAAGUCCUAAGAACCCAUAGAUUUGGCAUUUCUGAUUUUGAUAGAUUGGGUUCUAAUUAUUCUGUUAAUUGGAAUGCCAGUGACACGGAAUUUCGAGUGGAAUUUGAGUUCCAAGGAAAGAAGCAUGAAGUCCAUGGAGAGUUACUGAAUUUGAAAAGGGAGAAGUGAUCGAUGAAUACAAUCAAUACUCCUGAUUAGUGAAUCCCAUAAUCUCGGCAUGCUUGCAACCUCCAUGCCCGGCCAGUCGGCCUGCCACUGUUUCUACAAUGCAAAUUAGAAACAUGGAUUUAGACACUGCCAUAGUCCAAGCACCCGUUAUUGGCUUCAAGAAGCAUCAGUUAUGAUCAUCCAGCCAGGCAGCCAUCACCAGGUCCAGAGCAACAGUACCUUGAUAUUCAUUGUCUUUAAUCAGAUAUACCUUUCAAGAAUUUGGCAUGGAUUCAGACAAAAAGAAUUUGGCAUGGAUCGAAACAACAUGCACCCAAAAAAAAAAAAAAAAAAACUGUAAAUGAGGGGGCAGAUCUUUGUGGAUGUAGAUAAUGCAUGAAGAAGGUUUACGUUAGUUUACGACUGCUUUUGAAGACAUUGAAAGGAACACGCCAACGAAUACGCCCUCAGAAAUUUUACCUCCACACAACUGCAAACAGCAUCCAAUCAGAACUGCAGCAUUGAGAAUAAAAAAAACAUUGUAUAAUCCAGUCUACAUUAGCGAAAGCUAUGGCUUCACAAUCAAUGUCGAUUAUAGUUAUCUUAAGCACACCCGUCCAAUAAACGAACAUAGAAACUAAAUACCAAAGAGUGCUAAAGAUAUAACCAGAAAUACUGAAUGUCAAGAUGCAAGAGCAGAAUAGAGGCAUAUACCAGUCAAUUUCAUGUGCUAUCAUUCUACGACUAUCAGCAACUUCAGUAAAUUACAAAUGAACGAUAGGAUACAGCAUAGAAAGACUCAGAAGGUAGACAUGCAAUCAGAAUAGAGACCUAAAGUAGUCCAAUUUAAUGUGGAAGUUCCACUACUGCCAGUAACUUCAAUUAAGGCCUCUAUGUGAUUAAGGGUGUCUUGGGAAAGUGUAAGUCUAGCACAAAUACUGCACCUCUCACCCCUCCAACACAGAAGAAUAGCUACUGGUACUCCAUCCUAUUAGUUUUAAGGACUCAGAUGCUACAUCCUAGUACGAUAUUUUGAAAUUGUCACUCAGUGUAAACCCAAACACAGGCAAAGUAGCUGGAGGAAUAAAGCACCAAGAAGAAAUAAUCUACAACACUAUUAUAAAAGGACAUUAACAAAGAGCCAAACUAAACUAAAGUGGAAAAACAUAAACAGUAUAAUUUUGCAUAGGGUGGUGCAAUUAACACACCCUUUUUUGCUAUUAACACACCCCUUAUAUAAAGGGCAUCUUAUCAUUCUCUACUUAUUCAUUGCCAUGUUACUAGUACCUGCUAGAAUAUGGCAUGGGAUACUGGUUAUAAAGGGCAUCUUAUCAUUCUCUACUUAUUCAUUUCCAUGAUACCAUCCCAUGCCAUAAUCUAGCAGGUACUUUUAUAAUUUUUGUGGCAACAUCUAUUCCUGUAAUUUUGCAAUGCCUAAAACACUAGGUGUAGGAAGGUUGCACAUUGAAAUAAUCAUAAGUAAGCAAAAACUUCGGUAGAGAGAGAGAGAGAGAGAGAGAGAGAGAGAGAGAGAGGAUCUAACUUUGUUGUGGAAAACUCUAAGCCCAAAGCAAAAAGAAGAAAGAUCACACCAAACUGAGCUACAGUUUCAACCUGCAUCCAUAUACCACAGUGAAAAUAUGAAUAAGACACAUAAAGAUAACCUAAAUACGAGGGAUCAGUUAACGAUCUAAAUUUUAGAAAGGAGAACAAAUUCUAUCUCUGCGUACAGAAUAGUCCUGGUUGUGUUUCUUACAUGAGGCAUGCUCAAUAUAGCUACCAAGAACAUUUUAUUGCAUACUCCAAGACAACAGACUUAAGAGUAUCUGAGCGACUGAAAAAGUGCUAGAAUCAUCUGAAUGAGUACUAGAAAUGUUUCUUUCUUUCUUUCAAUAAUGUAUAUGAAAAAUGACUGUUCAUGCAUCGUUCUUUCCAAAAUUAUCAGUCACUUCUACACAUGUGACGAGAGCAAAUGACCAAGACCUUUAUGCUUACAAUAUCAUAACAUAUAAACCAUUGCAUAAGAUAAUAAAGCAAAGUGAACAUACUUGAACCAUUUCACUAACAAAGUGAACCCUCCAGGUCCAAUAACAGAUUUGGCUAGCAAAUACCCUGAUAUGACCUGCAAAGUUAUAAAUCAAAGUAACACAAUAAGAAACAUUAAGUAUAGUCAAAUUUACAAGAUGCUCUAUGAUAAGUUCAUAAAUGUAUGACUGUUGAUGUGUAUGUACAGACCAGUUGUCCAGCACAAGCAAAAGCAAUAUCACCACAGGUUGCAGAGACAUUAACGACGACCAGAUCUGAUAUCAGUCUACAAUCCAACAAGCAGAAGUGAUCAGAUCACCAUUUCUAAUGAAUGACCAAAUUCGGGCAACUAUAUUGGUUUCAAGACAUAAUCUGAUCAUGGUACACAUUUCCAAAUUCAUUUAGCACUCCGCGAAAAGAUGAGGAAAUGAGAAAAACAGAAACUGAAAGGGAUAGAUACAGAAUUUCUAGUUAACUACACAAGUUACAAAACAGAAGAGACACAAAUCAGACUUCUUGCUCACUUAUAUCUCUCAACUUAACUUUUCCACGUUCAGCCUUUCCAUUUUUUAGAUAAGCAAAAUCAACGUGGAAAAGUUGAAUUUACAAUUCACACACUUAUUGCUCACUGAAUAAGUUGAGGGAUGAAGAGGUAGUCGAAUUUGGUUCUUUACCUUCGAGCAAUCAGUGAGCAGAUUGGCAUAAGAAUUUCUAGUGUCCAUUCUGCUCAAUAGAUUGGGAAUGAGGGGCGUGCGAUAAGGCGGCGCCGUCGGUUUCGGAGAAGGCGUUGAUGAAGGGGAAAGAGGAGUCGACGGCGAAGAGGUACCCCCUACAUCGUCCAUGGCUGUGGAUAUGGUACCCCUACAUACUUGCCUGCAACAAUUUCUAAUCGAAUUGAAUCCUAUUAUAAACCAUGAUUUACAAUCCCGUGACAAGUCAAUUGUAAAGCAUUAGAAAUUUGUGAAACUAAACAUAAACCACACAGACAAAACUUGAUUAAAAUUCAAAGAUACUAAUAUUCCAUGGAUCCGAAACAGAGUACAUACACAUAAACCUCCUCAUCACCCGAACAAAUCCCCAACCACAAAAUACGAGUAAAUCAUGACAUUACGGACGGUCCUGGAUAAACACUGUACUGUAAACAACAUCCAAACAAAUACAAAAACACUCCCGGAAUUGGUUUUGAAAGAGAGGUCUCCAAAUCCCACAGACAACAAUAAUGACUCAACGAAGGCCAGACCCUCCAGAAAAUGCACAACAAUUGCACCAACAACUACACAAGCCAUCAGCAUCAUGACUGCCGUGCACAUUCGGACUCCUGCCUCCAAAUUCUCAUCCAAACUUGGAUUAUGAAGAUGGGUCUUUUUGGAAUAGCGUCCGUGAUAGAUAACCAAAACAACUGUCAAAUAUACGCCGAUCCACAUCCUCAAUAAUCGCCGGCGAUGCGGCUGCACUUUGUUUUGGUCGUCAGGUUGCGCGGCUGCGUGUUGUCAGAGCUUUUCUCUCUCUAUUUGUACUAGGUUUUUCUGUUUCUUUUUCUUUUCGAGUUGGAAAUUGACUGUACUUGUUUAAAGUCCAAACUACUUGCGGCAGAUAUGUUCGGCUUCUUAUCCUUGUUUUUUACUGUUUUAUUUUUACUAGCUUUCUUUGCACACGCAGGGCCGCGUGCGUUUGGUUUUGUUAUCGUUCAUUAUCGUGUGUCAUGAUUGAAAUCAUGACUGCGCCAUGCUCCUUUCUUUCAGGAAUUGGAUAAUUCGUUUGGAAAUUUGCACUCAUUAAACAAUAUUUCUACUCUCUCCCUUCUCUUAAAAGGACUGCCCUGGUGAAAAUGCUAAAAUCAGAUUCAAAAGGCUAAAAUCUAAACUUCACGUCAAACAAUACAAAAGAAUCACAAUUUCAUAUUAGGCUCUUCCUCACAAAAUAAGAAAAGAAAAUAAUUUGCCUAACCACAAUAUGAGUCCAGGCCAUGAAAAGCCCAAAUGUAAGCUUAAUAUGAAAUUGUAUCUAGCAAACUCAAGACCUAAAAAGAACUUGAGGGUAUUGAGAUGAACACAUCUUCAAGUCAUUCUCAUCUCUGUUAAUCUGCAAUGAAAACAAAAUAGUGAGAAACUCUUUAAAUCUCAUUCCUUUCAAAGUGGUAUCUACCACAACAUAAGGAGAUAAAUGGUCUAUUUUAUUUGAAACACAACUUGGAACUCGGCAUCAAUGGUUCUGUACUUAAAUGCAGUAACAAUGGCAUAAUUAGCUCCAUGAUCCCCCACCCCAAAAUCCAAUUUCCUAAAGCACCUCCCUCACAAAAUUCCAAUGAAGUCUAUUAGAGCAUCUCCAGCAGCUUCCCCAAAAUUUCUCUAAAAUAGGGAAGCAAAAGCUAAAAUCUCUAAAAAAAUUAUGCUUAAAAUCCAACAGCUUCUCCAUUUUAGAGAUUUCAGCAUUUAAUACAACAAAAAAAUAUACUAUAUCAUUAUUGAUUAUAACAAAAAACAUUAUAUAUUUCAUUGUAACAAUAAAAUACUCAAUCAAAUAUUCUAUUGUUGUCUUGAAUUCGUUAGAGCAUGUGAAGAAUUUAAUUUUGGGGAAUGAAGGCUUUGCUGCAAAUUUGGGGAAUGAAGGCUUCUCUUUCUUCUAUAUCCCCAUUUUGGGGAAUGAGAUGGGGAAACUGUUGGACCUAAAAACAGCUCUAUAUUCCCCAAAAUUGAGAAGCUGUUAGAGAUGCUCUUAUAAGCUUUAGCAAGAUCAACUUCCUAAGCAAAGAAAAUAAAAAUUGCAACAAAAAAGUAAAUGAUAAAAGGAUUCUCAGCAGUGUACUAAGUACCCAAAAAUUGCAACCUGUAAGUUUGAAACUUGAAUAAACUCUUAAUCAACAGUCACAUAACAAUGAUAAUACACAACAAAAAUCACUAAACCACAACCCCUAAAUUCGCUUGCAUAAGCAUACCUUUUUCUGUGUUUAUGCUUUGAAGAACGACCACCAAUUUGCACCAAUUUGCUUGUUUACAGUGUCAUGAUAUGGUAGCAUAAAGAAACUGCUAUUGAACGUAAAUCCGCUCAGCGAACAAUACCUAACAAUGAUAAUCCAAUUCCAAUGAGUAACAUGAAAAACCAAAAAUAAUAGAAAUAGGAUUCCUAAAUCUAGGAUUCCUAAAUCAAUGCAAAACAAAUCUGAAAAUUUCCUAAACCAGCAAUUUCCUUUCCACCAAGAUACACCUUUGCAAUGACCUAUGUUGAAGGUAAAAAAACAAAGAUGCAAAAGUUACAGAUCAAAUAGUUUCAGCGUAAACACAGACAUAUGAACCAAGCAAUUGGGAUCCUAUAGCAGCAAAUACCGACCCCAAUCGGUUAUUUGCAGGGCAACGUGAAUACCUGAUUUCUGAUAUGCUCCUCUUUGCCCUCAUGUGGUUGAAGUUGAACUGCAAAUCAAGAGGUCAGAGUACUGAUUUGAUAUGCUCCUCUUUUUGGGGUUGAAGUUGAACUACAAAUCGAGAGAGGGGUGAGCAUUGAUAUAGAGCCAUAUGCCCAUAUGUAAGCCGAACCGCUCCCACAUUGUUCCGGCUAAAAACAAAAACACAACUGUUCAUACACAAAAAGUUAGUAUGGACACGUUGAGAUUGUAAGCCAAUCACUUGAGCAAUGAAAAGAAUUAAUAGCUCCAUUUACCAAAACAUAGAAACAUUCAUUGUCACUAUUGUUCAAUCAAACAAUCAAUAAAGUUCAUUGACUUAGAAAGAGGCAUAAAUUGAUGACAAUAGGAAGCCUGUUAUAUAUCUACUACCACAGAUUAGAAAGAAAAGAACGACAAAAGUAAUACAGCAUUACAGAAAAGUAUAUCAUUUACAUCUAAGACAGUUGAAAAGCUAAUUCCUAAACAGGAGCGUAUAUAGAACAGAUGAAAAAUGAACAACAAAAAGAAUCAAGGAUUUACCACUAGUGAGCCUUUGGUACUUUGACUGAUAUCGAUGAAAAACAAAACAAAAACAAAACUAUCAAAACACUUGCUUCCCACCCAAAUUGCAUACACAUUGAUUCUUUGAAGACAAAAAAAAAACAGAGGAGACCCAAACUCAUCUAAUUGAACACAAAACCUCACCCAAAUUGUUUUGACGCUCCCUUUCUGGGUUCACUUUUGUUUUGCUUCUCCCUUUCUGGGUUCACUUUCUGCUUCGUGCAUUUAACUUUUUUCGCCUUUAACAUUAGUUAGCUAUUUACUUAUUAACGCAUGCAGGACUGUCUCAACUAUUUUUCUUUGUAACAUUCAUAGACAAUCAAACAGUUUUCAGCAUAAUACAAAUGAAUUGAACUCUCAAACUCCUAAACUCUUAAAAACAAAAACAAAAAAGAAGUCCUUUGCUUCUCAGAUUUCACGCACUACCAAAAUCAUGUCCUUCAUAUCACUUGAAUUUUCAAUCAGCCUCCAUAUGCUAUAGUUGUAGCAACAUGCAUGCUACAGCUUGCCAUUUAUGUGAAAUGACUUUCUAUGUAACAGUUAACACUUAACAUAAUCAUUUAUUAUUUUAUUUACUGUAAAAAAAACACUAUGAACUUACAAUAUCGGUAACCAAGCAUGAAAUGACAUACUUAAUAAGGAAAGAAAUUACACACAGCUCUAAUCACUACAUUAAGGGGUCAGUUUGCAUACGUUUCAGAUUGCAUCACAAUGGAAAACCAAUUUUAAUAGCAUGAGCAGCAUUAAGGACGACAAAAAAACAACAAAACAACAAAAGAAAAAGAAGUCAGGCAUACGUUGAUUGACCUGAACUUAGCCAUACACAAACCAGUUCUUAUUACAUCAGUUCUAGAGUACGAAACAGAAGAAAGAUAAGCCAAAGAAGCCAAAAAAGAAAGAAAAGAAAGGAAGCAGGGCACCAAGUUUAUAUCAGUUUAUGCUUCACUUGUGAAAAAAAAAAUUGUAAGUUACAUCCAAAUCUCUUUACAAUAAACACAUUACACGCAAAAAACUUGUAACAAAACUAAAAAGCUCAAAAUGAAUGAAUCUGAGAAGAAGAAAAAAAAAAAAAGGAUAAGAAACCAUUUUCUCAUAGGCCCUUAUCUUCUUGGCUCUUGCACUUAGUAGUAGCUCCCCUAAACUAAGCUUCAUAGUUAACUCAACCUGAACUUGAUUAAUGAGCAAUUAAAGCUUAUAAACUCUGCCAUAGCAGAAUUGAAAUCUUACAAAGAGAAGCUAAUUUGAAGGCUUGUUUACUUAAAAAAUUGACACAUAUGGAGCACAAAGGUUCAAAUUUUACUGAUGGGGUCUGCGAAAAGCAAUCAAAUUUUAGCAAAUGCAAACUAAAUCAGGGGAGCGAUUCUGAGAUCAAAAGAUAUAACCAAUUAACCAUCUCAGAAAGAAAUAGGUAAAACAAAUUGGUACUGCCUUUUAAACUUGCAGACCAUACCUGAACAGAGUACCUAACUUUAAAUAGUAACAACAAAUGAAUCCGUAUAGAGAUGGGUCUGAAAUUUAAAGAAAUGGAAAGCUAAGUUACCUGCAAUGAAAGAAAUUGGAACUUCUGAGAGUUUCAAACAAAGAAAAAGAAGAACCAAUUAAGAACAACAGGCAUACAAACAACAAUUUGAAAAUUUUCUUACCAGUCUUUCAUAUGAUUGAUAUCCCCGCAUUCGUAGUCCUAAUCAACAAUUAUUCUGGGUUCAUUUGCAAAUCGCCAACAACUGAAAUUAAACAUUGAAAAUCAAUAAUUUCCGUCGAUUUAUACAUUCCAAGCCAAACCCCAUAUUUUUGAUUCCACCCCAUGCAACUAGUAUCGCAUUCAUCCCCAAAUUUCAACAGUUUCCCUUACAAUCCCAAAUACAAUCAUCGGAACCCCACUAAAAACCCAUGACCCAAUUUGACAAAUCUGAUUACCACAAUCAAAAUCACUUACGUAAAACCGAUGGCGCGAAUCCAAAUUAUUAGUUCUGACUUUUUGGAUUUGAUUUUGCUAUGCUCUUCUUUGCUUCUUUUAUUUCCUUUUUCGCACGCAAUGCGGAUGGAAACAGGGGAUAAGAUGUAUCCCCACGUCCUUCUUGCAGUUAUCGUCAAUGGGAACUGUGGAGAAUACUGGAGAUCGUGUCUUGGCAGUUCGCAACUGCAACCUUCUUUUUCUUUUUCUUUUUCUUUUCCGAUUUCUCCCGCGGAAUCCUCUCUUAUUUCAAAAUGACUAUACUAUCCAUACACAAUAUGCAAAUAUAGGUGAAGAAUAAUAAACUUGUGGUUUUUUCGGAACAUAAAAAAUUUAACCAUUCUCACAUCUCUUCUGGCUUUAUUAAUAGAGAUUUAUUUAUUUAUUAAAAUAAAAAUACCUGAAAAGAAAAAUAUAUAGGGUAACAAAAAGGAAUGUGUUAAUAGCGUACAAAUUCUUAUUUUAUAUUUCAAUGAACAAAAUUGAAUUUUAAUUCGUUGUUGAAGUUCAAUUUACAAGAUAAAAAGAGUUGGGCAGCAAGUGAAUAUUAACACUGUUGUUUAGCACUGAAAAAAAAAAAAUACCGCGUUGCUCGCUUUCUUAAUGUUUGAGUGGAGGUCAACAAGGGUGUUUGAAAACUGCUCCAACAUGUUGGUCAUAAAUUUGUAGGAGUUAAGACUGGAUGAUGGACAUGAAACAUCCAUGUUAAGCGUUCGACCAACAUUAUCAUAUUGAAUAGUUUAAUAUUUAAAAUUUAAAAAUUAACAACAUUUACAAAACAUUUUAAGAUGGUGCUUUAAUGCUUGUUAUGUGAGACUGCAUGGGAUUAGAAAGUGUAACAAGAACAAGUUUGUGUUUAGCAAUAACAGAGUUUAGGACUAAUAAGCUUAAGUAGUCCCAAAAACACAGUCAACACCUUCUACCAUAGCAACCCUAAAUUCAUGGGUUUAUGGAAGACGUUGUUGUAGACACUGAAAACUCUCGUUGUUUUCUUCUAUGCAUGCAUGCCUCAUCAAUCACUCUCUUCAAUCUCUCAUUAUCUUUUUGUCAGUAAUAGGGGAUUCUGGUUCUUUAAUCAUUCAUUUCUCUCUAUAUCUUUGUCUCUCUCCGAUUCAUUCUAGAUCGGUCACCAACGGAUCCUGAUUUCCUGGACGUUAAAUCGUAAAUCUCUUUUUAAAAUGUUGUUCAUUGAUAUGGAUAUAAAGUUCCUCAAUGUAAUCAUUUUCUUUUGAAAUGUUGCCUAUUGGUUCUCUUUCUGAUUUUCUAUUGAAAUGCUGCAUAUUAUGCUCUUUAGUCCCCCACUAGAACCAAACAUAAGUUUAGUGUUUUAAGGUCGGGAGAGCAAUCCAUUAAAACACACAUGCUUUAAGGAACUAUUAGAGGCUUAGAGCAACUCCAUCUGAAUAUGCAUUUUAGACACCUCAGCCCAACGACUCUAAUUUGGCAUUGUCAACAACCUCCAACCAAAUAGGCAAUGUCAAAUUUGACAAGUGUAAUUGGCAUUGAGGGAAGGCAAUGUUAAAUUUGACAUUGAUGAAAGACAAUAUCAUAUUUUUUUCACUCUCUUUAUGCUUCUCCAAGUAGUACGCACACCAUAUUUACUCUUUUAAAUGAUUGUUUAAUGUACGGUAUAUAUACAAAUUUGGAGAUGAGCUUAGCCAAAUAACCAAAUGUUAUAUUUGUCUUGUCACAUGUUAAAUUUUGUAUUUGACAAUAAAUUUGAUAUCUCCAUUAGAGAUACUCUUAAAGACAAUAUGUAUAUGUUGAUCUUAAAAACAAAGGGACUCAACCUAUCGUUCUCUCCCUAGCCGGCCGCUAGGGUUUCGAGCCUGACCAAACUUUCUCCAUUGUUUUUCAAUGGAGACCAAAGCAGGCUUCACCCUGCUAAUCCUCUUCGUGUUUGCUAUUCUCUUGGAUGGCUAUGGUAGAGUUUUUCUCUAUUCGAAUCUGGUCUCUAGAGAUCUCUUUGGUGGAUCAGUGGUGAUUUUCGACUAUAGAGAUGGAGAUAGCUGCCACGGCGACGGCGACGACAUUAAGAGCUCGUUCGGGUAAAUGGUCUUUCCUCUCACUCUGAUUGUAUUGACGAUAGCGGUAUGAGAGUCUUUCCUUUCCAUUCUUUGGCUGUGAUGGGGAUCCUCCCUCAUCUCUUCCGUCGAAUCUAAGGUGGUGACCACGGGUUGGCUCGCUAGUUCUCAUCUAAUACAAGCUUUGACCUCUCUCCCUUCGCUUAUGGUGGUUGUGAUGGCAUUGAUAGUGGUGGUGAAAUAGUUGAGAUCAAUCGGAUCUUGAAUCAAUCUGGCCUGGACAAGGAAAACUCCGGUUUUGGUUAUGACGGCGACGCUCGGCUCUGAUGGUGAUGACAUCGGCAGAAAGGUAGUGGCGGCUAGGGCAACAUUAUUUGUUUCUCUUGGAAUUGGGCUCGAAUGGGCCUGGGAUGGAUCAACUAAGGUUUCCCUCGUUUGGGCCUUGGCUAAUAAAGUUGGGCUUGAGCCCCUAGUUUAAAUUUAGUUUGGUCCAGGUAGACUAGUGCAUUCGUAGAGUUUGAUAGUUUUAUGCGGAUACUAAUUUAUUUGUAAAAUCGUGCUUAAUUGUUACAAGGUAGGUGUACUUAGGAUUUCAUAGCUUAUAUGCUUUAGAUAGUAUAAAACUUGCAAUUCUGCAAGAUGAUGCUUUCUGACAACUCCACAGGGGUGUGUUGUCUUUGUAUUGCUUGCUCUGAUUUAAAUGAAAUGACCUAUUGAUCAAAAAAUACAAUAUGUAUACAGUAUGUCGUACUUUUCUUCUAAGUGUGUUUUCGAUGCGGGUAUUUUUAGUGUUUAGUAGUUUAAGAUAAUUUAAUAAAAAUUAUAAAAAACAAUGCCUCUUUUUUUUGAUUUACUAACAGUAAAUAUUUCCCAAAAAAGUGAAAUUCACCUCGAGAGCAAUUUACCGUUUGAACUUCCGCCGCGUCAAAUAAAAACUGUUAGACGGGCCAACCUAUCAUCUUCUUCUUCUUCUUUUUCUUCUUCUUCCGGAAUCUUUGAGCUUCUCUCUCAUCUUCUGCUUCUCCAAUGGCGUCGUCCAGCUCCGGAAGUUCAAUUGCGGCUCCAGGUACUUCCAAUCUCCAAUAAAAAUUUUACGUUUCUCUCUUUUCCUCACAUCGCCACACUCUCUCUGAUCUCGGAAACUUUGACCGGUUGGUGCCACAGAGGCCGUUCAAGUUCUCGUUUCUCUCCUCGCCGACGAAUCCCCCAAUGUCAGAGAAGCCUCCAUCGCCUCCCUCAAAGACAUUGCCUCCCUGUAAAUCUCUCUCUCUCUCUCUCUCUCUCUCUAUAUAUAUAUAUAUCUAUAUAUGCAAGUGACGUAGACCAUUACGUAAUAGAUUGAAUUGCGAUUUGCAGGAGUCCGGUGUUAGUCCUCGAUUGCUGCUCGGCCGUUUCGAGAGGAGGACGGAGGGUAAGCUAGUUUUCUUGGCAUUGAAGUUAGGAUUUUGCUAGGGUCUAGUUUUGCAAUGUGGAGUGUGAUCACUGAAGAGGCUUUUUCACUGCAGCGGUUUGGUAAUAUGGCUGGGGUUUUCCAAGUAAUGUCGUAUGGAGUCGGAGCUUUGGACAACAAGGAUGUGGAUCCUCCUUUCAUGACCAAGCUUGCCAAGAUUGCCACCGCGGAGAUUAUCUCCUCCAAGGUAGUUUGGAUGAUGAAUUGUAGGUUUGCUAGUGGAAAUGCUUGCGCGACUUGAUUGGAGUAUAUUGUGUUUGAUGCAGGAGCUCAAUACAGACUGGCAAAGAGCUGCAUCGGGCCUUCUUGUUUCGAUUGGCUUGCAUUUGCCUGACCUAGUAAGUAUCUUUGUGCAAGUAGAACUCGCAUUAUGUCGUAUGUGGUUUGAAACUGAGUGAGUUUGUUUUGUUACGACUAAUAUAGUGUGAGAUGAAAACAAUGGUAUAUUCUAGUUUGUUGCUUCCGGUAUACCCUUGUGAUCUGAUUAACUUGAGUGACUUGAGUGCUGGUAAGUAACUUUGAGGGGUAGAUCGUAGUAGUAAAAAAUUGACUGCCAACUAAUAUCGUUGUUACCACCCGAAUUCUCCCAACUCUUACACCAGAUUGACUAGUGAUGUAGAUAUAACAUGAGGAUCUAACCAUUGUGCCGUUGGCUCUGUUGGGAUUGCCAGCUUCUGUAUUUGAAUAUAGUUUUUCUACUGACAUAAAUGUUCAAAUUCCUUGAUGUUUGUUGCAACCUGUUUCUGGCAUCUUGAAAUGCCUGAAUUAAAAUUCAGUCUCCCAAUAUACUAUAUACAAUCGUAUUCCUUUUCUUUGGAUUAGUGGGUUGGGCCAAUCCUUAUUCUUGUAGAUAGUAUGUAACGUAUUAGUCUCACCUGAGGAAAACUAUGACAGGACCUAUGUUUUAGAUGUAUUUGAUUGUCAAAAGAUUAUUUCUCUGCACACUAUUAGCCCCAUUUUCUUGACAUUGUAUAGAAAUCAAUUUCCAGUGUUGGCAGUUAGUUCUCUCUCCCUUCCUCUUUCCUUGCUGUUCCUGAGAUUCUUCAUCAACCUGUCCGUUACUUGAUUUUCUUCUCGUUUAUUGAUAUUUCAGAUGAUGGAUGAAAUAUUUCUCCAUUUGCCCGGGCCAAAUUCAUCUUUACCAGCUAUGGUUCAGAUACUAGCAGACUUUGCGCUUGCUGAUGGUUGAUUAUCAAACUUUUCUUCUCUGCGUUCGAGCUUGUGCAUGUUCAUAUGUUACUUUUUUUUUCGUCUUUUGGCUUAACUAAAUUUCGUGACAGACUAUUUUAUCCUUUGAAGCAUUGCAGUUCACACCACGAUUGAAACAUGUGCUUUCGCGGGUUCUACCUAUUCUAGGAAAUGUGCGUGAUGCCCACCGGCCAAUUUUUGCUAAUGGUAUCUGAAUUGUCUCUUCUGUUUGGUUAUGCUAUAUUGAAGUGAAAUUGGAGUAAAGGGGUUGCUAUUAUUUGAGAGCUGUUGAACCAUUUACUAUAUGUUCCAAACACUGGUCAAAGUCUGCCAAAUAUCUCAAGUACUGCAAUGUCUAACUUGCACAUGCUAAGAUGGGUUAAGCUCAUGCUUUCAUUCCAAAUCAAGUAAAAGAUUAUGGCUGCCAAACCAACAAUUUCGAAUGUUCAAUAAAUUUCUGAAUGACUUGAGAAGAUUUAUGGAACUUGUGAUGAUGUUUCCAGUCUUGACUUGAGACAAAGGCCACUAAGAGGAAAGAUGAUAAUAAUAGCUGGGGCAUGCUAUUAUGUUAGAGUCUUAUUAUUUGUAGAUAGACGUGUUAUUUUCUACGUCUUUUAAGUUAUCCUUCUCAUCGUUGAUAAAACUUUCCCCUCUUUUUUUUUUUGCAUAGUCUUUGACAAAUUUCUCAUAAAUGUUAAUAUACAUAAUUUACUCAAUAAUAUUCUCUCUCUCUAGAUGCUGACUAUCUUUACGCUUUUCAGCUUUUAAGUGUUGGUGUCAGGCUGUUUGGCAAUAUAAUCUGGAUAACCCUUCUUACCCAUCUCUGGAUAGUGACAUAAUGUGAGAUCAUUGAUCCCAACCCAUCAUUUCAAAUAUGCCCUUUUUACAUGUCGAUAUGUUUCUGUCUUAAAUGAAAAAGCAUCAUAUACUGCAGGUCAUUUCUGAAUUCUGUUUUUGAGCUUUUAUUGAGAGUUUGGGCAGCUUCAAGGGAUCUAAAGGUUAGGAAAAUAUUCUCCUUCUGUUUCUUAUCGUAAUCUCACUGUUUUGCAUAAAAUUUUAUGCAGCUUCACUUUGGUAUUCGCUUAUCUAUAAGUUGGUUUCAGCCAAAUAAUUAUAUAUGAAUAAAGCCUGAUUUUUAAGUGCCUUCUAUAGUUCUACUUUCUUACUAUGUAUAAUGUCUAUUUUUCACAAAUGUAAGUAUCUUUCUUAUAAACAAAAGUUCAAAAGCAUAUAAUUUCGCGUGAAAGACACAAAUAUUUUACUAAUAAAGCAGUUGUUAUAGUAAAAGUCUGAGUAUCAAGUCUGGUGUUUGCUAUUGGUCAGAAAUUUAGAAAAGCAAUUACUCAUGUAUGGCCUCCUAUAUGCAUUUGUUUUUUCUUUGAUGCUGAAGAGCGUUGUUAAAUGUUAACAAAUUUUUAUAGAAGACUAGAAAUGCAGAUGCUUACAAAACUGCCCCAUAUUAUAGUGUUCCAUGUGGCUAGCUUUUGGUUUUUGAUUACAUCCAAAUGUCCAUUGGUAUUGGGUUUUGGAGGAGACCCUUGUUUUGAACUGGGACCAGCAAUUGGGUUUGGGUAAUCUGGGCAUAAAGAAAUUCCACUGAUAUUUUUUCUUUUUCUUGUACCUAUAAACCUUUUUUUUUUUACCUGUUAAGACAACUUAUUCCAUUUUACUGAUGUGAAAUUUGAUAUUAUAAACCCUUUUCGGAGAGUAGGUUCGGUCAUCUUCUGUAGAAGCAUUGGGUCAGAUGGUUGGCCUUAUUCCCCGGACGCAAUUAAAGGCUGCUUUACCCCGGCUUGUCCCCACAAUAUUGGACUUGUAAGAUUGAUUAUAGUAGUUCUGGUUGUAUAUGUUUAUGAUGCUGCACCACAUGUAUGUUUUGGUGUACCGGUUUUCGGUCACAGCACUUUUCCAUCUUGAUAUAUCUCAUAUAUUUCUCAGGAUAAAUGGACACACAUAGUGCUGGCUUUGUAUCUGUAAAUCUAUAUUAUCAAAAUCUUUGUGUCUUUUUCCUAUUGAUCAGAUACAAAAGAGAUCAAGAUAUUUCGUUUUUGGCAACUUGUAGUCUUCACAAUCUCUUAAACGCAUCUGUACUAUCAGAUAGUGGUCCUCCUUUACUUGAAUUUGAGGUAAAGCUACUGUAAUCUGUUUUUAUUCUUAUUUUUAGUUUUUAUUCCUAGUCAGUUUAUUGGUUGUAAGUCCUAAAAUCAUGUUAUUUUGACUGCAACACUUGACUUUUGUCUAUGGUUUUAAUUUGAAUAGCUGCGCUGGUUUUUCUGUUCAACAUUGUCACAAUUCUAAAAGAAUGAAACAUGUAUUUAGAUCGUAAAUUGAGACCAUGAAUCAGGCUUUGCAUAGUAGGAGAUCUUAUACAUUACAUCUUAGGUGUCUCGCUUCUGAUAGACUAGUACUGCUGUUUCUUUCAAACACCGGUUUAUUCUUAUGAUGGUUCGCAGGAGCUCAGCAUCGUUCUAUCAACACUCCUUCCGGUGGUCUGUAUCCAUAACGACAACAAAGAAAACUCAGAUUUUUCAGUUGGAUUGAAGGUGUAGAAAACUUAUUUCCUUAUGUUUGAAUAAGCUUCUGAUUUCUUUCUAUGUUGCUAGUUUCUACAAUGGUCUAUAAUUGCUUUAGUUAUUUCUUGAAUCUGUAGGUCUUUUGUUUAGAUCUCUAAUUUAUUCGUAUCUUCUUCAUGUUAUUGUGGUUCUUACUCAAACCACAUCUUUUUGACACAUCCUGUUUAUAAUGGAGGAUAACUUCACAUUCUCCCAGCAAAACAAAAAUUGUUUCCUGCCUUUUGCUUCAAGGACUAGGUCCACAUAGUAUCUAUGAUUUCAUACUGAUGUUUAUGCCAACAGCUACCUUCCAAAUGUUUGAGUUCUUUUCUUUUCCUUGUGGCCAGACAUAUAAUGAAGUUCAGCGUUGCUUCCUGACAGUUGGUUUGGUAUACCCUGAAGAUUUAUUUGUUUUCCUUCUAAAUGUGAGUAUUCUUUCAUCAAAUGUUCCUUCUUACUGCCACAUGAUCCAAAGUAAAAAAAAGAAAAGUUGUCCUUCUGUUCUACAAUAGUUUACAAGGUCCAACUUAAAUUAGAUGACCUUUUCUUUUUUCUGCAUUUGUGCUACCAGAAAUGCAACUUGAAGGAAGAACUAUUGGUGUUUGGUGCACUCUGUGUUCUAAAGCAUCUAUUGCCGAGGUUCUUUACAUUCUGUUGUCUCUAUUUACUUUGUCCGAUUCUUUUACAUAAUUUGACAUUCUUAUAAUUUUAUAUGGAGGCUGUCUGAAGCUUGGCACAAUAAACGACCCUUACUUGUUGAAGCCGUCAGAUCGUUGCUAGAUGAGCAAAACUUAGGUGUCCGAAAAGCGCUCUCAGAGGUAUUCAGAUUCAAAUUAUGAAGUGGUAGCUGUAGGCAAUAUGCUACCUUUUAAAUUACCUUUUUCUUCAGUCUUUUCAGAAGCACUUUUGUCUUUCCUCUCCACUAACUUUACAUUGCAUUGCUUGCGCAGUUAAUUGUCGUUAUGGCAUCGCAUUGUUACUUAGUUGGUCCGUCUGGGGAGCUGUUUGUUGAAUAUCUUGUGCGUCAUUGUGCUUUAACAGAUAAGGACAGACAUGACUUUGAGAGGUCUAAGGAUGUUUCAGGAAACACCUAUGUUCCCUUCCAAUACAAGAGAUCAGAGGUUUGCAUCCGACAAUUUUUACUUUUGGAAAUUUUAAUGUUGCUACUGAUCCUACGUGGCUGCUACAAAAGAAAUUUUUGUUUUGAUGUUACAAGCAUUCUGUAACAUUUACUGAGAUGAAAAUAUGAUGGCAAAAACAUAUUUGGAAACGGUGAAUUUUCUUUUAAAUGUUGUAUGUUUUAUGACUUGUCUCCAGUAUUUAAUCAUGUGCAUCUUAGAAUAACAUUUUUUUUUAAACAGUUACUGGAUUUUUCUAAACUGUCUUGGAACUAUCAGAUGCUUAUAGCAUUAAUGCUAGCUUCAUCUUCUUAGGUGAUAAUUGGGACACUUUGUCCAAUGGAGUUGAGGGCAAUAAGCGAAAAAAGUCUUCUGUUGCUGACUAUUACGAUCCCUGAAAUGGAGGUAUGCAAGAUUGUUGAUUCUACAUUCAGUAGACGUCUAAGUUUUUACUGGUGGUUUGAGCUUCUAAAGGGGUUUCUUUGUACAAGCAUAUAUCGACAUCUUAACAUUAUUUUCGUGCAGCAUAUACUAUGGCCUUUUCUGUUGAAGAUGAUUAUUCCACAAGCUUAUACGGGUGCAGUUGCUAUGGUAGGAAUUUCUAUAUAUCUUCGUCUUUACAUUCUUAGAUCCUGCUGUUUCUGUUGAGUAGAAGUUUACUAGUUCUUGGUGAUAAUCUGAGUCAAUGUAUGUAUUCAUUAUAGUUGUCUCCCGAAUUUGAAUAAUUUCUGCUGCUACAGGUUUGCAGAUGCAUCUCUGAGUUGUGCAGGCAUAGAUCUUCUAAUAGCGAUACUAUGGUGAAGGACUGCAAAGCUCGUGCUGAUAUACCAAAUCCUGAGGUAGACUUCUUUCUAUAUUGAACUUUGGACUCUUUUUUGUGCAUCUCCAGACAAUUUAUCUCAGCAAUCCAUAUAUUACUUGUGUUUAGGAGCUUUUUGUUCGGUUGGUGGUGCUUUUGCAUGAUCCUUUAGCAAGGGAGCAGCUGGCUAGUCAGAUUUUGACAGUAAGUGUAUAUUAUGUUUAAGUGUGGAUUUAUCCUGGAAAUAAACUGGGAGUAAUAUGUAUUAAUGAGUUGUGUCAAUUUACUUUUAUACUUGCUAUAGAAUUCCAAACAUGCGAAUCCAAUCUCAUUCACUAUAAUAACUGGUUUAAUGUGUAACACAUGGUUUAAUGAGUCAUGUCUACUUACUUUUAACCCAAAUAAACUGGUAACUUAAUGAGUCCCUAUAUAUAAGCACAAACUUGUCCACUGUUUUGACGAUUUGGUGUGUACCACCCCACAACAGCACCCCUCAUUUACUUGUGUGAGAGAUAUUUUAUCAGUGCGGGAGAUGUCAGAUGCUUCUUUGUAUUUUUCAAUAGAUGGUUCAGAUGAGUUUAAGAUAUUUUGCAGGUUAUUUCUUUCGUAAAUAAAAAAAUGGUGUUUGUGCACUGAUUUAGUUCACCUAUUAUUCUUAUAAUUCUAAAUGAGGAUACAUGUGCUUUUUGUGUUGCCUCGCAGGUACUUUGUUAUCUGGCACCACUGUUUCCGAAAAAUGUCGGCUUGUUUUGGCAAGAUGAGGUAAAUCAUUAUGCAGUUAGAAUUGAAUAGUUUUGUUAAAGCUGGAUGUUUCAUGUUUGGGUUAUAAUUUUUACAUAUAAGUAUUGUCAUACCUUUGAAACUAGGUUGGAUUAACAGGUCAUAAAUACCAUUGUUUAUGUGAUUUUAGAAAAUAAACGUAGUCUUGGCGGUGCUGUUCUUAUUUGUGACAAAAUCCAUAUGUGCUUUUAGAAGGAAAUAGAAAAGUAGUAAUAUUGGCGGAGAUGUCAUAUUUGUUUAUUUUCAUUUCCUUUUGGGAUUGAAUUCCUUGUUCUUUCCUGUGAAAUUCCUUGUACUUGACACUGAAUUUGGUAAAUACUUGACAAUUAUGUGCUUAAUUUUCCUUUUGGUGUAUUCCUUUUACCUGAUGACAGGGAAAACCAAAUGAUUAGUAGUCUAAUUUAUUUUUGUCUUUGGUAAGCUCUAGAUUCCAAAAUUGAAGGCAUAUGUUAGUGACACAGAAGAUCUUAAGCAAGAUCCUUCUUAUCAAGAAACUUGGGACGACAUGAUAAUCAAUGUAAGUGCAGUGGAUCUUUCAAUAAUACCGAUCUAUAUACAUGGGAUUUUUUUUGGAAUAUGGUUCAUGCUGGCUGUUGGAACCAUGUCCUACAGUGGAUCAUUUAGGUGAUGCUGGUAAAACAUAAUAAUCUGCUUCUAGACUUUACCAUGGCCAUUGAAUUUGAGAGUAAUUAUUUAAAAAUGAGUCGAUGAUUAUUUUCUAAAUUCUUCCUAUAAAUUCAUAUUUGUAUCAUUCAGAUUUUGUAGAAAAGUGUACUGACAGAGAGAGAGAGAGAGAGAGAGAGGUUAAAGCUUAAGGUUCUGCUCAGUGACUGGUUAGGUUAAUUUUUCUCUUUGAUUUUAUGCAACAGUUUUUUGCAGAAUCUUUGGAUGUGAUCCAUGAUGUUGCCUGGGUGAUAUCUCUUGGAAAUGCUGUUACCAAACAGUAUGGGCUUUAUACAGCUGAUGAUGAACAUUCUGCACUUCUUCAUCGGUAUUAUUCCUUUCAAACCUGUUUUGCUUUGCCUGUUAGAUGAGAUAUUGCAUAUUUAUUGUCACCUUCCAGCAUUGCUGUACCUGACUCUCAGGCCGUUAGUGUACAAUUGCUAUCUUCCUUAAGUAGGUCCCACAUGUCAGGGAGUUUGUCAGGUUGCUACCUCUCCUCACUACACUAUAUCUCUAUCUCAAGAAAAGAAAAAGGAAGCUAAAUAAAAUGCACAUAUAGUGAACAUAGAAGGCUGGUGCCACUAAGGAUAGUUUCUUAGUGGUUAAUAGGAUAGGGAUUCUUGUGGUGUCCACCCCAUACAAGGGUCAUGGAUGGUUGACAUUGGAUAAUCAUUGCGGGCACAAAUUUCCAUAGCAUUUCUCAAUUAACCCACAUUCCUUUGGUAUUGUUCCUCAUUUCUAGCACCAAGAUUGUAAAGAAUGCUGAAGCACAAAUGCAAUCAAGAAAACAACUUAGCUUUUCCUGCAUUUUAAUGAUUUAGUUGCAUGUAUUCUCAACAGAGUUUUACUAAUAAUGUCCGAUUUCUAUGGGCUUCUAGUGGUUGGUGCCCUCUGUGGUUUGUCAACUUGAGAAGCCAUGUCUAACUUCAGGGUUUAACUAUAAUUCUUUCAAUGCAGCUGCUUCGGAGUGUUGCUUCAAAAAGUUAAUGACAGGGCAUAUGUCCGUGAUAAGAUAGAUUGGAUGUAUAAACAAGCAGACAUUACAAUUCCAACAAAUAGACUUGGUCUAGCAAAAGCAAUGGGCUUGGUUUGUUACAGCCCCUUGUUUAUUUUCUACUCUUUCCACCUUUACAUCAUUCAUGAUGGAAUUCUUUUGUCCUCUCCACUUCCAGGUCGCAGCAUCCCACUUGGACACAGUCCUGGAAAAGCUGAAAGGGAUUCUGGAUAAUGUUGGGCAAAGUAUCUUUCGAAGGUUUUUGCCAUUCUUUUAGAGUGCUACAUAGCAUAUAUUUAUAGUUUAGUUUAUCUAGUUAGAUUAAGGAAAUAUAGAUUCAGUAAUGAAAAAAUAAUUUAUACAUAGACAAGGUGUAUACUAUGCAGCAAGGUGAAACUAUGCAAACCUUUUCCUUUUACUGCUCUCCAAGAGCAGAAACUGGGGAUGCUGUCAGUAUACUUAUGGAUCUUAGAGUUUCUUGCUCUUCCUUGCAAAACUCUUGUGGUCAAAUGUCAUCUGCAAUGGUUUUUUACCCAUAACAUGUUGUUUCUAUAUUGCAAGUAGAAAGUUCAAGGUGUUAUUUCUGGAAACAUAAGCUAAUAAAAUAUAACAAAGUCAAUCAAAUAAGAAGAAAAUGAAAUUGUAAUGUAAUUGUUAGUCCAAUGGUUUCCUUAGAGUGUGCACUACUGUUGUGUUCAGUACAAGCUUUAAAUUAUAAGAAAUGCAAGAAGUUGUUAAUGCAAUGUGACCCCUUUCUCUUUGUUUCUUUUGUCAUUGUCAUCCUUAUAUAUAUACACAUAUUUAUUUAUUUUUAUAUUGUAAUGCUCAAUUUACAUUUAGUGUGCAAUAUUAUGGGUUUGAUAUGAAGACAUUCUCCUUUGCUUCAUUUAUUGCAGAUUCCUAUCCAUUUUCUCGGACGAUUUUAAAACUGAAGAGUCUGAUGAUAUACAUGCUGCUUUGGCUCUAAUGUAUGGAUAUGCGGCAAAAUAUGCUCCGUCAACAGUCAUCGAAGCCAGAAUAGAUGCACUUGUUGUAUGAAAUCUUGUCCUUUCCUUAAUGCCCAUAAUACCGAGAAAGAAAUAGAUUCUGUUUUUCUCCCUUCAAUAUUUCUAGCAUGUAUUUUGAAUUAAGAAUCUAGUGAACUGUUCAACUUUAGGGUUCCUAUUUAUUUCUUGCUCAGACUUCUGGUCUUACUAAAAAGGCCAAGGUUUUUAGAUCUUGAAGAACUUACAUAUCGGUUACUUUUUCGUCUUGCAGGGGACUAAUAUGCUUUCUCGGCUUCUCCAUGUGCGCAACCCUACUGCAAAGCAGGCUGUUAUCACUGCUAUCGACCUUCUAGGUUUGUAAGAGUCAUUGGAAAUAUGGUGUCAUUUUGUUUCGUGUACUCUGUAUAAGCUGCUGCUGACAUGGAAUGUAAUGUUUAUGCUUUGUUGGGUGUUUUAACAUGUUUUGUGAAGUUCAUAGUCCUGUAAGCGGUUUAAAUAGUUGAAAUGCUCUGACUGGGUCUGUUACUGUAAUGCUUAUAACUAUUCCAUUCCCAAAGGAAGUCAUCACUGAAAAUGUUGUUAGCAUUGAGUCCUGAAUGUUUAACCCCAUAUAACCAGUGGUUAGGUGUCUGUUUGUUGGUGUGGUGUGCUUUGAAGUUGUACUUAAAUGUUUAUUCCUAUCCGGAGACUUGAAACAGAGAAAGAUUAGAUUGCAAAGAGUGUGUGCAUGCUUCUUUCCCUUUUAGUUAAUGUGCCUGCUUGCAUAUUCUUAGACACACUAACAUGCAGGGUUGUCGAACUUAAACUCUAAUAGAAGUGUAGGUGAUCAUAUUAUUGAUGUUGCUAAUGUAGUAUGGUGUUAUCAAUCUAUCGUUAAUCACAUGUUUAUGUUGGAAAAAGCUUGACUAUUUGGGCAGAAUGAUAUAUUAUUUCAAGAUUAGACAAGGAAAUAUUGUAAUUCUCAUUAUCUGCAAUUUUAUACAAUUGCUGUGCUAUGAUCUGUGCCAUAUGGCUUUGCACCUAAAGUUGAUGAAUUAUUAUGAAAUUGCAGGUCGCGCUGUCAUUAAUGCCGCAGAAAAUGGUUCAUCGUUUCCAUUAAAGAAAAGGGACCAAUUGCUAGACUAUAUAUUAACUUUGAUGGGACGAGAUGACGAUGAAAACCUUUCAGAUUCUACUCUUGAACUUCUGGACACACAAGUUAGUAAUAUCCUUGGAACAAUUGUCUGUGGCGAGAUUGCUUUUGUUUUUCCAGAAAACCAUGGGAAAAAGAAAUUUAAUUUUGGGAAAAAUUUUAUGGGUAUUUGUCUCAUUUGUAAUAACUUUCUACGGGUCAUUUUAUUUUUCUACAAUUUUUACGAUGAUCUUGCCUGAACACAUACCUAAAUACUAUAGACGUAUUAGAUCAUUGCACUCCAAAUCAAUGCCACAACAUAAAUUUCUCCUUAGCUGUACUCCUUAAGAGAGACCAAAUGUUCGUGAAUUUCUUUUAUAACUUUUUAUAUAUCUCUUCCCCCGGUUUACAAUUUUGCAGGCCCGUGCUUUAAGUGCAUGUACUACGCUGGUUUCUGUGGAGCCAAAACUAACAAUUGAAACCAGAAACCAUGUGUUGAAGGUUCGGUGUUAUUACACACAUGUUGUAUUUAAACUGAAAUCCUUUUUCUUGUUGGUUGUUAUUAAAUAUCAGUAAUCUGAUAAUUUGACAGGCCACCUUAGGGUUUUUUGCUUUACCAAAUGAUCCAGCAGAUGUAGUCGAUCCCCUUAUUGACAACCUUAUCACUCUAUUGUGUGCAAUUCUUCUUACAAGGUAUCGUAAACUUGUGGUCUGUUCUUUUCCAGACUACGUAUCUUCUGAUAUAUCAUUCUGUCAUCUAUUUUAGUUUUUUUAAAAUACUUUUUGUUUUGUUAUAUUUAUUGUUAAAGUAACCGGAAUCCAUUGGUCUUCAUUUACAAUUUUGGAUUUAUAUAAUGAGAUUAUAUCUAUCUUGAAAACUUUUGGGUAAGAUGAGUUUCCACAUCUGGAAGUUCUAAGCUUGCAUCUCAAAACAUAUAUUGUGGGCCUCUUCAGCCAGUGGGUUUGGUUUAGAAUCUAACUCCCACCAUUUAUGAAAGCAGACUGCUUUUAUAUCUUAGAGUAUGUUAGCGUUAACAUAAACUCGUGUCUACAUAAACCACUGACAAUACACAAAGUUUAGUCCCUUCACCUUUCCUCAAAUCCUUGAAAAGAAUGCUCAAGAAUUCAAAUAACCCCUUUAAAAACACUUCAACUUCCUUAACAGCCUCCACCAAUAUAGAGAUUAAGAACAAUGCCGGAAUAAGUGAUGCACACUCUCUCACUAAGUUUACAGAGAAAGCAUGUGAGUAAAUGCCCAGAGAAGUUCUAGUCUUUUGGAUCUGAUCACAUCCUAGGAGCCACUGAUCAGCCCAAAAUCUUAACUUCCGCAGUCUUCAAUUUCCAAAAGCUGAGAAAUUGGUGAGGGUAAGAGGAAUCCACAACAUGUACAAAAAGUACUGUAAGAUUUUCUGGAGGAAGUUCCAGACCCAUCUACUAUCUACUCCUGAAACAUGUCAACCCCCUCGAACUUACCAAGCUGCAAAACAAACUCCUCUGCCUCAAAGUCAUUCAAGUUAUUCCUAGAGGCUAGAGCCAAAACCCAGUUCUAAGGAAAAGGAAAAGAAGUACCUUGUAAUAACCUGGAAACAACACCUGCAGUAUAUUCUCCAUUGUCCUCCCAGAAUCUCACCCUGAAGAGGCUUAAUAGAGAAUAUAAAUUCUCACAAUCUUGUAUUCUAGGUCUUGCGUCUCAAUAUAUUGAAUCCCUGCCCUCCCUAAUGGUUUGGUUUUCUUAUGCAUCAAAACAUCUCUCUUUGUAAUUAACUAUGCAUUUUCUAGCUGUUAUGAAGCUAUGGGCCCCUUAUGUUUAUCCAGUUGAACUAACCAUUUAGAUUCUAGGAAUUGCUUUUGCUACUUUUCUAUAUUGAUUAGUGAACCUAUAACAGGGAAAUUGCAUUGGAUUAUAUGUAUAGCUGUUUUUAUUUACAACAUGCAUAAGGCUUCUGAUUACCAAUAUGUGACAAUUUAGUGGAGAAGAUGGAAGAAGUCGAGCAGAGCAAUUACUGCACAUCUUGAGACAAAUUGAUCAAUAUGUUUCUUCAGCUGCCGAUUAUCAAAGAAGAAGAGGUUGUCUUGCAGUACAUGAGAUGCUUCUCAAGUUUCGGACAGUUUGCAUCACCGGACAUUGUGCCCUUGGCUGUCAAGGAAGUUGUACUCACAUCAAGCCAAUUGACCGUAAUUUGCAUGGGAAUUUUUCCAACUUGCCAUGUAAAAAUGUCUCCUAUGACAGCUUUUUCCCUUUUUAUUUGUUCUUUCCUACCCUGAUUCUUAUAUUGUUGAACUACCAGCGGCAUUCGUGUUGCCAAGUCGUGAGGCCUUGUCUUUAGGAGACAGGGUUAUUACAUAUCUCCCACGCUGUGCAGACACCAAUGCUGAAGUUAGAAAAGUCUCUGCUCAGGUGAGUUUCUGGUAGAAUUUGCCUGGUCUUUUAGUUUUAGCUUCUUUUUUUUUUUUUUUAAAGAAAAAGAAAAUUUACACCUCAUUGUUAUCUGAUAUAAGUUAUAUUGACACCCAAGUGUUGUUUCUUAUUUUGAUUACAUAUGACAUAAAUCUAUCUAUCUCUGUGUAGAUUCUUGAUCAACUUUUUAGCAUCUCACUUUCACUUCAACGGCCUGCAACUUCCUCUUAUGGUGUUGACAUAGAAUUGUCCUACAGUGCUUUAUCAUCCCUGGAGGACGUCAUAGCGAUUUUGAGGAGUGUAGGUCCAUUGCCUUACUCGUUUUCUUCUUUUUCAGAUUUCUGUUCUUUACAUUUGUACAUUCCAUUGUUGGGUAAAUUUGACACUAGGGAAAUCUUAUGGUUUUUCUAUAUAUCCAGGAUGCUUCUAUAGAUCCAUCUGAGGUUUUCAACAGAGUCAUCUCUUCUGUUUGUUUAUUACUCACAAAGAAUGAGGUUAGUGCGUUGUACUGAACAUGCUCUCAGAAUUGAAAUGUAUGCUGCAACUGUCGUAUCUUAUUCUCAGUCAAUUCUUGCAGCUUGUAGCUACCCUGCAUGGUUGCACAGCUGCUAUUUGUGAUAAGGUCAAGCAAUCAGCUGAAGGGGCAAUUCAAGCUGUUAUUGAGUUUGUCACAACAAGGGGGAAUGAGCUGAGUGAAAUUGAUGUUUCAAGGUUUUUGUGAUUAUGAAUUUUUAAUUUAGUAAUAGAUUUCAAAAACAGAAAUAUUUGAAGAGCUUUUCCCUCUGGAUAAAGAAAUAGAUUUAUGCCCAUUACUGAUGGGGUAUAUUUGUGGUUAUAGAACAACGCAAGCUCUACUGACGGCUACUGGGCAUGUAACAGAGAAGCAUUUACGUCAGGAAACUCUUGCUGCCGUAUCUUUUUUUACCUUUAUAAUGAAUUACAUGCAUGUAUAUGUAACAGGGCCUUUUAAAGUGAAUGAUGCCUCUUGAGAGAAGAAGGAAACAUAGUUUAUGAUCUAUUGGCUGUUGGCUACUGCACAUUGUGUUCCGAUGAUCCCUAUUCACAUAUUUUGAAUCUCCCUUUAAGGAUCAGGCAAUAUCACUUUAAAUUGGUUUACUCAUAUAGUCAUUUAUGAUAACUUCAGUAUUCAUGGCAAACUAAUUGUCUAUUUAUUGCAUUAAGAUAGAUUAUUUUGGCUGUUUCUUUUUUCUUUCUAAGAAAGCACUUUACUCAGAAACUCCCUAUAACUGUGUCCAAUCUUAUAUAUAAAUAUUUCCUGUUGCCUUGCUUGUCAAAUUCAGCAAUGCUGUUGCUCUUAUCUAUCAUUUGGUUAUUCUUUUUUGGGCUUCUAUCGAAUAUCCUUAACUGCUAGAAGAUUUCUUCUCUUGCCGAGAGCACUAGUUCGAAAGUUGUCUUCAAUGAAGUUUUGGCCACAGCUGGAAGGGAUAUAGUAACGAAAGAUAUAUCCAGACUACGCGGUGGCUGGCCAAUGCAAGAUGCUUUUUAUGUGAGUCUCCUGUGACUUUCACUUGUUGCACUUUACGGUCAAAUCUUAAUGUUGAUUGGUCAGGAGUAGCCAUCAUUGUUGCCUUGGUCUCGUUGCCAAAUUUAGUUCGACUAUUCUCUCUGAUUGAUUUAUCUUUCAUUUUACUAGUAUUAUGUCCUUAAGUUCUUCAUUUAAUUUAUUCAGUUUGAUGUGAAUGAUUUAUUUUUAUUUUUCCCUGUAGGCAUUUUCCCAGCAUACAGUUCUUUCCUCUUCAUUCCUGGAACAUGUGAUAUGUGUCCUUGAUCAGUAUCCUGUCCUUAAAGCUGAUUCCGAGAAAGGAGACUAUUCUAGCCCUUCAGUUGAUGGUCAUAUAGACGAUGAAGUUCUUCACGCAGCCAUUGUUGCUCUCACUGCAAUUUUCAGGUUUAUAGAAAAUGAUGCUGUCACUGCCGUCUAUUUGAUCCAUUUAUUUAAUCAUCAUAGUAUCAGUAAUCCAUAUGUCAGCUUUGCUUAUCAGACUUGAGCUAGAUUUAUUAGUUAGAUAAGUUCGUUAAGUCUACUUUUAUUGCAGAGGUGGUGGCAGAAUAGGAAAAAAAGCUGUUCAACAAAACUAUGCUUCUGUUCUUGCUGAACUCACUCUUCAAUUGGGAAGCUGUCAUGGUCUGGCCAAGUGUGGUCAGCAUGAACCAUUACGGUAAUCAUCUUGUAGAUUUUACUGUUUGGCAUAGAACAUAACUGACACCAACACACACACAUGUGUUUAGUCAUAUUUGCAUACACAGAACCAAUCAGAAGCACAUGUCUGCAAUGUGAACUCUGCCAAAAUGCUGGGGCUGUUCAAACUUUGAAAGGUGUUGUUAUAUCCUUUUGAAUGUGCAGCUGUUUUGGCCAAGGUUCACAUUGCAGAGGUCUGCUUCUGAAAAUGUAUACAUAUACUGUGAAAGUUUGAAUUAUGUUAUUCGAUGUCUCAAUUUGUGUGCUCUUGCAGGGCACUUCUAACUGCAUUCCAAGUAUUCUGUGAAUGUGUUGGAGAUCUUGAGAUGGGAAAGGUACAAAAUAUAUAAAGGACUGCAAUCUCUCUAUUUGUUUGUUCAUAAAUUGUCUCUUGCAAUAGGAGUGAAAUGUAAUUUGGAUAUACCUUGUAAUUUUGUAUAGAUUUUGGCUAGAGAUGGAGAGCAAAAUGAAAAUGAGAGGUGGAUCAAUCUAAUUGGAGACAUAGCGGGCUGCAUUUCCAUAAAGAGACCGAAAGAGGUAAUAUGGCUCUUCUGGGACACUAUUUAUGUAUUGAUAUACAUUGGAACUGAUCACAGUGAAGUGAAUGCCAAAGUAAAUGGCAGUGACAGUGAGUGUAGACUUCAAGAGAGAGAUAACUGUUAAGUUGUGUUCUGUCACAUUAUCGUGGAUUUUGGGUAAAAGGGAACUUGCCCGUACACAAUUUGCCUUUGUUAGACACUAGGACACGUGAUAUAUUUAUGCUAUGUGUUUUAAUUUCUUUAUUUCUAAAUUCUUAGAUUAAUAAGAACCCCUAUGAAUUCAUGUUUAUGGCUGGGUAGUUUUGUUUCUUGAUGGAUCUUUUUGUUUUUCUUUUAAGGUUCAAAGGAUAUGUGUAAUUUUUAGUAAAUCAUUAAAUAGACACCAAAGAUACCAAAGGGAAGCUGCAGCUGCUGCAUUGUCAGAGUUUAUCCGCUACAGGUAUGAUAAUGAUGUCAGUCAACACUGGUUACUUGUUUUUAGAUGCAUUAUUUCACAUAUUUUAACGUGUAAAAGAUAUUGCUAUUUCCAUGAUAAUGAAAGGAGUUUCCUGUUGCAAAUGUUGUGUCCAUCCUGUGUCAUUUGUCUCAGUGUUGUUAUUAAUUUUGUUUACAUUUGCGAUCACUGUUGUUUGUAGAGUUUGCAAGUUUUCUAUAGGAUGCCAAAUAGCACUCUACUUCUUAUUGGUUCCUUCUAAAUCACUUAUUUUGAUAUGCACAAACUGUCGUUAUUUCGAUGGUGCAUUAUUGCGAUCAGGAUAUCUUAUCAUCACAAAAACGCUAUCCGUCAUGACAUUAUAGCUGUGUAAUCUUGUUAACUGAAGGCAUACGGUAUGGAAAAUAUUGGUUUACUCAAAUUUUUUUCAUAUAACAAUAACUGAUCACUCUAUGCAUUUCAAUUUUGUGCGUCUCUGAGACCGGUUUAGUUCUUUGCAAACAAUUUGAACUCCUUUGUGCAUAAAUUUAGUUCAUUCAUCCACUCACACUUGUGUGUUAUUAGUUAAAUUGGUUCUGUUAGCUUUUCAUUCCAGCAUCUUACGAGUUAAUAUUCAUGACAAUGCAGUGAUAGUUUUGGCUCCCUAUUGGAGCAGAUGGUGGAGGUGUUGUGUCGACAUGUAACAGAUGAGUCUCCAACUGUCAGGCGCUUAUGUUUGAGAGGAUUAGUACAGGUUUGCUAAUUCUAACACAUGUUUAGGAACCACUGUUCAACUUUUGUGUGUGCUUUCUCUUUUCCCUUAAUUUUCUUUUGAUCUCUGCAUAGUAUGAAUAUGUACAGGAGGAAAUGACAUUUCUAACUUUUUCUGUUGUAGAUACCUUCUAUUCAAAUGCUUCAGUAUACAAGUCAAGUGCUGGGCGUAAUAUUAGCUUUACUAGAUGAUUCUGAUGAAUCUGUGCAAUUAACUGCAGUUUCUUGCUUACUCACGGUGAAUUCUCCACCCCUCUGUAGGUGUUCAUCUAAUUUGCUACAUCUGCCGGUUACAUUUUGGUAAUCAUUCUUAUUUUUUUGGAUGCAAUAGAUGCUUGAGUCGUCACCCAAUGAUGCAGUGGAUCCCAUUUUGCUCAGUCUUUCUGUACGGCUUCGUAAUCUUCAGGUGUGCUACUUUACUCUUUGGUCUACUUGCUCAGAAAGUUAUUUGCAGUCUAGAAUGAUUUACUAAAUGUUUGAAACAGAUAAGCAUGAACCCCAAGAUGCGAGCCAAUGCAUUUUCAGCUUUAGGAUCACUUUGCAACUACGGAACUGGGGCACAACAUGAGGCAUUUCUUGAGCAGGUUGGAACCUAUCUUAUGUAUUGAAGAAACUUUCUUUGAUUUGAAUCUUGAUUAUCAUAUUUCAUGGUUACACCCACCCACCCACAAGUGCACAGAUAUAUAAAUAAUAUGCAAGCAGUGGCGGAUCCAGGAUUUAAAUAUGGGGUGGGCUUCAAAUUUGGCCGAAGGCCAAAAAAAAUUUCGUUGUAUACCCAUGCAAAGUGUAGGAGCUCAAGCAUACGUCAAUUACGAGUCUUUGAAAAAAAUGAAAAUAGGCGUCAAUGAAAGUAGAAGAAAAUUUAAAAAAUAAGAGACAAAUUAGAAAACCCAAUAAGAAUAUAUUGAAAUCCAAUAUUUCAUCGGAUUCUAUAUAGGAAAAAGAAGAUUAGAAAAUUUAUAUUCAACAAACUUUAGAGAUUUAAGCAGGAUAAGACUAGAAAACUAGAAGGAUAAGAAGAAGAAUGGAAGAGUAGAGAUGUAGUCGCAUACACAAGAUGAGAUGCGUAAAAGUAUGGAAGUUAGGUGGGCUUGAAUGCACAAAAAAAAAUAUAUCCAAUAAAAAAAACAUAAUACACUUGGUUUUUUUUUCAAUCCCAAAAACCUUGGUUGGGCUUGAGCCCCACCAACCUCUGCACUGCCUCCGCCCCUGUAUGCAAGUAUUAUGGUUUUGGUUCUAGUUAUAUCUUGUCAAGAUAACUUGUUAGACCAUUAUUGUUCGAUACUUCAACCACUUGCUUAAAUAUAUUGUAAAUGGAAUGACCUAUUUGUUUGUUAUUAUAUGAAGCUCAUAUUGAUCAUAAAUACUAAUUUCAGGUACAUGCUAUUAUUCCACGCUUGGUUCUGCAUUUGCAUGAUAACGAUGUUAUCGUCCGACAGGCUUGCCGGGUAAUUGCUUACGGUCCCUGUUAUUUCUUCCAGGGAUGAAGGUUUAUGGAAAUGUUUUGACAUGUCUUUGGUUGACUGAUUAACAGAGUACUUUAAGACGAAUUGCCCCCUUACUGGAUAUGGAAGGAUUAUUUCCCUUGUUCAACAUGCAUUGUUUCAAUCAGGAUCACCGGUAUGCCUGCAUAUAUUUUGAGAUGGCUGAGUUUAUACAACGUUUAUGAAGUGACACAUUAUAUGAUGAUAGUAAAGUCACAGAAACUUUUGUCUUUUCAGAACUGACUACGAGGACUUUGUCAGAGAACUCACAAAGCAAUUUGCUCAGCAUCUUCCGUCAAGAGUCGAUUCUUACAUGGCAUCGGCAAUUCAGGUUCCCAUGCUGGAAAGCUUGUUCUUUUCAUACAAUUAAUAUUAGUCUUGGUUGGUUGCCAUUUGCCAAGCUUGGUAUCAGCAUUACUGUACUAAGAAUUGGUUAGGCGUAGAUCCAAAGGGAAAGGAAAUGGUACACUGAUUCUCGUACGCUCUACAUUUGAUACUUACCUUAGAUUGAUAGAUCUACACCUUCUGAUUUAUUUUUAAAGCCUGUCUUGGUUAGUUUAUUGUCCACACCAACCUGUUUAGUAUCAAAUUCAAACCAUUAGUUUGAAACUGUCACAAAGAAUUACUGUAGCUAAACGUACAACCUUUUGUUUAAAGGAUAAUUUGAAAGCUUACAUGUCAAGCCACUCACAGCUUGCUCUAUGGAGGCUGGACAGGCAUAACUGCCGCAUUUGAGCUAUCCCUUAAGAUGUAGGCUAACUUUCUAGAAGUCUCGUACAUUCUUGAUGUUUUUCCUAUAAUGCAUAAUAUUUGGCUUUAUAGAAUAGCACUUCUAUUGCUUAGGUCAUUUUCAAUUUCUUAUGUAAUUUGAGCGCACAACUACUUAUCAGACAUUCUUAUUGUGGCAGGCUUUAGAUGCACCUUGGCCAAUAAUCCAGGCAAAUGCUAUAUACUUCUCCAGCUGUAUGCUAUCUCUGUCAGAUGAUCAGCACAUCUUGACUAUCUAUUAUCCACAGGUCAUUUUCAUGCAGAUUGCUAUCUUUUUAUGUCAUAACCAAAACAAACUUGGCAUGCUUACAGAAACUCAUGUCUUCAUCAGGUAUUUGGUACAUUAGUUGGAAAAUUGAACAAGUCAACAGAUGCAAGCGUGAGAGCAACGUGCUCUUUGGCCCUUGGUUUGCUAUUAAAAUCCUCAAAGUCGAUAUCAUGGAAAGCAGCUCCAGUUGAUCCUGUGGAGUAACUUGAAAUGGUCAUCUUCAUCUGUAUACGUCAAUGGCAAGUCUCCCAUUGUAAUCACUCGGCUGGCCUCAAAUUCAGGGUUUUGUGUAGCAAUGCAUGUUGGAAGUGGAAGACAUGGUACUCAGUUAUGCAGGAAGCUAAAAAAACCCUCAAUUAGGUGACUUUUGAGGUGCAUGUAGUGGUUAGCAGUGCCUGCAAUGGCAAUCGGUGUGUAUAUUGUCAAUUGUUGUAAAUUAUGUCAAUUGUAACUUUAUCAUCCCACAUUGUGCGCCCUCACUGCCGUGGGUCAUUUGUGUAUUCUGUUUGUUGUAUAUGUAACGACUUUGUUGUAACGACUUGUAUCAUAACAUGUAUGCUUAAUUACCCAGAUAAACAUAAACUCAUUGAAGCCAGAUGUUGUAAACUUGUAAAUUCGCAAAUGAAUGACAUCUGAUCUUUUAUGAUAUAUAUAACUCCCUACUUGGUUGAUCAUACCAAAAAAAAGUUUCUUAAAACAAUGUCACCUAAUAUGCCAUUGUAUGACACUUGUUUUUUUUGUUAGCUAUUCAUUCUCUGAUGGCCAACCACAAGUGAAAACUUCGAGUGUCGAUAAGUUUAACAAAGUAGUAUUGAAUCGCUGGCUCUUUGGCGCCCUCAUUCAUUCUGGGAGGGGACGCCCCCCCCCUAGGAACUGUCUGUUCGAGAUCUUCUCCUGCUUAUUUUGUUUUCCUUUUCCUUUGUUCGUUACUUCGUUUGGUUGAGAUUUUGAGCUGCUUGCCUUUAGAAAGCAUGUCGUUUUAAAAAUAUUGAAACACAAACAAACGUACAAUACUCGAAUGUGCUUACAAAUUGGAAAUCCUUUGCUGUUUUUAAGUUUUUUCAUUUUUAUAAAAUUGCUUACAUAAAUUGGGACCACAUGAAAUGAAAAAUGCUUCAUUUUGUAUCCCAACUUGUACUUGACAAAGACUAGAAAUCUUGUUAUAUCAAAUCAUAUUAUCCUCUAUGCUUCUUGUGGUUAACAUACGAAUUUAAGAAUACAUUGAUAAAGGCUGUGAGGAAAUUUAAAAAGCUUGAGAGCUACCUUUAUUUUCGAUUUUUUAUUCUUUGAUAAUAGGACCACAUUGCAUGAUUACAGACUAACACAAUUAUUAUGGCUAAUUGAUAAUUAAUUAGACCAAUAAUAGCAGCAAAAUGGGACACAAAUUGAAGGUUGUCUUGUCAGUUGUCACCGAUGUGUUCCAGAGUUCUUGAUGAAGUUUUUUAGUUGUGCUUUGCUCUCUUUUGCACUUGUUCAGAACAUCGAGAAGAGUUGAUUCAUUGUCUCAAAUUACGUCCUCAGCUUUUCAACUUCGACUAACAACAAUUAGGUUGUGAGAGAGACAAAAUCCUAUAUAUGCUGACUGCGUUUUCUAGAAGAUUAAGAACGUCUAUGCAAGACAAAAGUCACGAUAAUAUCGAAUAUUAACCAAUUUUAAUUAGUACCAUACGUCUAUACUACCAUCUAAAGCUCUAUAUUUUACCAAGUAUUCAUUUCCGCAGAUGAAAUGGGAGGCCAUAACUUAUAAAAUUUUCAUUUGGCAUGUCAACUUGGUACUAGACAAAAUCUAUAAAUCCUUUUUUUUUUUUUGGUUCGAAAAAAUCUAUAAAUCCUGCAAAACCCAACUAUAGAUUCUGAAAUUCUUGAUCAUUUCUCAAUAGUCUGUAUGUACUAUUGUACUAUACGACCCCAUUUGAACUCGAAUAACUAUGCCAUAAUGAUAAUUAUUUUACGUAAGGGAAUGCUAAUUAAUUUACAAUACUCUAUUUCACAGUGAGCAGGAGCUUCACGGUGCAUAUACUGUUCAUUUUCCAGAAAUUUACCAUUUUGUCCCUUCUUCUUCGUUUAUUUAUAACGCUGUUAUUCAGUAUGAGAGAGAGAUAGUGACAAUUUUGUAAAUUACCAAAAAAAGAGGACAAAAUGGUAUUUAUUGAUGGGGAUGACAGAGGUGUAAAUCAGAAAAAAACAUGGGUAAAAUAGUAAUCCCACAGUCUAGAUGGUCAACUCAAUUAUCGUUUUGUUCUCAUAUUGUAGUUAUUUACAAAAUUGCUUAUCUCUCUCUCUCUUUUGGUCAGCUAUCUAGUAUAUAACUAGAGCCUAGAGGACCACCUUUGUUUGGGUAAAUAAACCAGUAAAUUAAAUAAAAAAUGAAAGGGCAAAUUAAGCGCAACCAAAGCCAAAGGCAACAAAGACUACAGAACAAGGAAAAUAAAACAAGCUUGUUUUAUGAAUAAUUGAGAAGGACCACAAUGAAAUGGCAAAGGACAACCUAACAUUAUGACUAAUUGUUAACUCCUGCAUCAUCAAGUGUUCUAACGAUUUCUAUUAUAUGGUGAUAAUUACUUGAGGAAAUUUUACAUAUAGUACCCCAACAACUUAUUCAUCAUUUUGACAUAUUAUUUUUAGAAACUAUCACAUAUGUACCUCAAUGCUAAAACUCAAACCAAUUUUAAUACAUACAUGUCUAUAAUAGUGUUAAACCUUUAUUUCUCAAAUGAUAUUUUCAUCUCUCAAUAUUUCAGCUUAACUUUUUAUUUUUUAUUAUUUAUUAUUAGCUCAAUUUUUUGUUGGUUCAACUCAAAAAAAAAAAAACCCUCCCAAACCCUCUAAUUAAAUUCUCUCUCUCUCUUUUGCGACCGAGGAGCCUUUGCAACCAUCACCAGCACCAAAGUUCAUAGGAUCAUGACCCAGAGUAAAGCAUGGAAUUUAGAUUUGACUCUUUCAACAAAAACAAUAGGAUUGAAGGUUGAUAAUUGGUAUUGAUGAGUACAUGAAUUUGGUUGUAGAUGACGUUGAAGAAGUGAGCAUCAAGAACAAUACCGGAAGACACUAGUUAAGAAAUUUUCCUCAACGAUUAACAUAACUCUCAUAAUGAACACGGGAAAAUGAUGAUCGAUCUGACUCAAAGUCAAAAAUAAUAAUCAUCUGAAAAAUGAAUUGCAUAUCAACCUCAGAGAUUCAACUUCAGCCCCAGAGAUUCAAAUUAUUUAACUCAAUCAAAUUUGUAGCUAGCCCCGUCAACUUUUUGAGUUGAAAUUGCUGUUUAUACUUUCUGGGUUUUGGUGGUAUGGAUUUGACUAUUUGAGAUGGGGAGAGAGAGUAAAAGACGGAGUUGCCCACUGAAUAUCUUAUGUGGCAAUGGAGCUGACGUCGUCAAUGACGGCAGGUACUAAAAAGUUCUUGAGGUUCGAUGUUGAGGUGCUGAUACUAUAGUUUUCAAAAUUGGUAUAUUGAAAUGAUGAACGACUCUUACUUAGGGUACCAUUUGUAAAUUUUUCUCUAAUCACUUAGCAAAACCCUUUACUUCAGUCAAAUUGAGCUUAUGUCUUAACAAAGGGGAUAUAAAAAAAAUAUUAAUAGUGACAUGUUUAAAUAUAAAAACAAAAAUAAAAGCUAAAGGCUGGCCGCAUUCUCUAUAAAAUGCUUUUCAUGGAUGAUACUCUUCAUAUCUAACCUGGUUGCUAAUCAUGGGAUCCCCAACACCCCAGCUUCACUUUACCUUAUUCCCUCUAAUGGCCCAAGGCCACAUGAUUCCAAUGGUUGAUAUGGCUAGAAUGUUGGCACUGCGAGGUGUUACCAUAACCAUAUUCACAACGCCAUGCAACGCCGCCCGUUUCAAAUCAGUCCUUGAUCAAGCCAACGAAGCCGGGCUUCAAAUUCGAGUAAUCGAACUGAAGUUUCCAUGUCAAGAGGCAGGUCUACCGGAGGGGUGCGAGAACUUCGACAUGCUACCUUCACCCCACUUAGCCUUCAAUUUCUACAAUGCAACAGCUAUGCUACAAGAGCAAGUAGAGAAGUUGUUCCCAGAGCUAACACCAAAGCCAUGUUGCAUAAUCGCAGACUUAUGCUUGCCUUGGACAAACAACAUUGCUAACAUGUUUGAUGUACCAAGGAUAAGUUUCCAUGCACACUGUUGCUUUUCACUCUUGUGUAUGCACAACUUAGGCGUUCAUUAUAAGGAGUAUGAGAGUGUAACCUCCGAUUCAGAAUACUUUAUUGUUCCAGGUAAUUUGCCUGAUCGAAUCGAGGUUACGAAAGCUCAGAUACCAGGACCAGUGCUUCCAAACUCGAAGGAUUUCCUUGUCCGAUUGGGAGCAGCUGAGAGCGCCUCAUACGGUUCCAUUGUGACUACUUACGAAGAAUUCGAGGGAGCAUAUGUUAAUGAGUACAAGAAUGCAACAAAAAAGAAUUAUCUCUGGAGUAUCGGACCAACCUUCUUGUGUAACCAAGAUGACUUGGAAAGAGGAAACAAGUCCUCAAUUGAGAAAAAUCAGUGUUUGAAGUGGCUUGAUUCCUGGGAACCAAACUCUGUGCUCUAUGUUUGCCUCGGAAGCCUAUGUAACCUGAUGCCUUCACAACUCUUAGAGCUUGGCUUGGGGAUUGAAGAGACAAAGAGGCCAUUUAUUUGGGUACUAAAGGAAGGGAGAACAUCAAAAGAGUUAGAGGAGUUGCUCUUGAAAGAUGGUUUUGAGGAAAGAAACAAAGAAAGAGGCCUUGUGAUCAGGGGUUGGGCACCUCAAGUGUUGAUUUUGUCACACCAAUCAACUGGAGGGUUUAUAACACAUUGUGGAACGAGUUCAUUUCUUGAAGCAGUAUGUGCUGGGGUUCCCAUGGCCACUUGGCCACUAUUUGGUGACCAAUUUUUUGCUGAGCAUCUUCUUGUGACAGUUCUGAAAAUUGCUGUGAGAAUUGGGGUGCCAAAACCACUGAAUUGGGGAGAGGAAGAGAAGACUGGGAUAUUGGUGUAUAAGGAAACUGUGAAGGAAGCCAUAGAAAUAUUAAUGGAUGAAGGUAAAGUAAGCCAAGAGAGAAGGGAGAGAGUUAGGGAGCUUUCAAUUUUGGCAAAGAAAGCUGUACAAGAAGGGGGUUCAUCUUAUGCCAACAUUACAAAUCUAAUCCAACAUUUCAUGCAAUUAUGAAGUGGUGGGUGUGAUGAAUCUCAGUUUGGUUUCAAGGUGUGUGUUGUUUUUAGUGUUUGAAAGAUGUAUUUGCGUCUUUGUCCAAAGAAGAAAAUAAAAGAAAAGUGUGUGCUCUCCAAGGUGAUGACACUUAUGUACGUGUAUCCUUGGGUUUGUUACUGUUGUUAAUCAAUUGUAUGAUGGAAAUAAGAUUGAAGACUUAGGGAAAUUAUUAUUUGUACCCGGAACACCACGUGUCUUAUGUUUCUUUUUAAUUUUAUAGAAAAUUUCAUAUAAGUCUAUUUUGAGACAUUUUCUCCUACAUAAAUCCACCCUAAACUUUUUACUCAUAUAAGUCCACUUAUGAGCUUAAAUCCACCAAUUCAGUAUUGUACUAUACCUAAAAUACCCUAUAUGUACUCUCCCUCAUCCACAAUCAGCUCCCUUGUCCACGAUCACUCUCUCUCUCUCNNNNNNNNNNNNNNNNNNNNCUCUCUCUCUCUCUCUCUCUCUCUCUCUCUCUCUCUCUCUCUUCCCCCCUCCGAUGAUGACGCCGAAACCCUAGCCCAACCAAAGCCGAAGCUCAACAAUUGAGGAACGCAGUCUGUUGUCUGCCGAUCGACGCCACGUAGCCGCCACAGACCAUCGCGACGGUGCUAUGGUACAUUUUUUCGCUCAACUCCCUUUCUCGAAUUUCUGAUCUGUUUGCUGUGUCUGAUGAUCGGAGUUGAUGAUUCUUGUGGUUCAAAAGAAGGAGGAGGAAUUGAAGAGAGAAAUCGGAGGUUUGAAAAUGGAGGUUGUGAGGGAGCAGCUGAUCGAUGAACUAGAGGAUCAGGGUCUAUGGAUCGAUGGAGGUCUUUUGAGGUAGCGGUGCUCUUCGUUGUUUGUGGUUUCUUAUUCGCGAUCGCCGUCGCAAAUUGAGCUUCGUCGGUAUGGAGUUACUGUAGAAUAAUUUGUAUAUUGAUUUUGAGAUACUGUUAUUCUUUGCAAAUACUACUUGUACAUAUUUAGAAGGCUACUAUUAUAGUUUCGGAAGGCUACUUGAACAAACCUGCUACUGUCAAUUUUUCUUCUUCCCACAGUGACUAAACAUGGUAUGUUGUAAAACAAAAAGAACUACUAGAACUGUGGAAAUUCUACUACCAUACUUUUAAAAAACUACUAUUGAUUCCACACAAACCUACUGUGCGUUUUGUUAGUUGAUAGAGUUUUAGAAUUAGUUCAUGUGUUUUCAUUCAUGCAUGUCUACUAAUCUUUGUCAUAUCAUUGUUAUUCCAAAAACUCUGUUAUCUCUCUGAUUCUAAUUUAUCGGCCACUUGUGUUAUAGUUAAGUCGUAUUGUUAUAGUGCUUCUUAUGGACUCCCUAUUUUAGACAUGAGUUCAGGGUGAUAGCAGAUUUAUGUUCUUGUAUUAGUAUCCUCUCAUGUUGCUAGAAGUAUAUUUUCUUAUAUGUUGUGUUUUUGUUCUUGCAUAAUUCAUCGCUUUGCAAUUGUGGUGGUAGAUAUCGAAAAUCAUGUGAAUUUGGAUAUUGAAGCUUCCAUAGAGAUCAUUCAGCCAACCAAGAAAAUCGUUCUCUAUGUGGAAAAAUUAUGCCUAUGAGUUUUGACUUUUAAGCAUCACCAUUGAAAACUGAUAGUAGCUUUAUACAACAAUUGUAGCGGACUUCCGGAACUACAGUAGUAGCUUUAUGAAACUAUUGAAGUAGCUUUGUACAUAAUUAUAUUAUUGUAGAAGGCUUCAUAUUUUUUGCACUGUUGAAUUUGUUAUAUUCUCUUGAUUGCAGUAACUUUUCUUCUGUUUGGUAGUAGGUUUUGUUGUGCUUGGUAAUAUCAUGUGUUUUGCUUGGUAGUAGCUUUUGUUGCUGGUGAUAGUAACUUUUUUUAUGCUUGGUAGUAUCUUUUGUUAUGCCGGAUAGUAGUUUUUGUUCUGCUUAGUAGUAACUUUUGUUGUUAGCGACAUUAUAUGUGACCUUUCUGAAGGUCGUCGAAAAUCUCACCAUAGCAGCUUUUGUUGUUGGAUAUAGUAGAUUUUGUUGUUGAAGGUAGUAGAUUCGAUUGGUGGCGGUAGUAGCUUUUGUAGGUGACGGUAGUAGCUUUUGUUGACGGUGAUAGUAGCUUUUCUUAUGUUGGUAGUAGCUUUUGUUUAUUUCGGUAGUAGCUUUUGUAUAUAGGGGUAGUAGCUUUUUGUUUAUCUCGGUAGUAGCUUUGUUGACGGUGAUAGUAGUUUUUCUUAUGUUGGUAGUACCCUUUGUUUAUAGCGGUAGUAGCUUUUGUAGCUGGUGGUAGUAGCUUUUGUAGGCGGUGGUAAUAGCUUUUGUAGCUGGUGGUAGUAGUUUUUGUGUUCGUCGGAAACCUCACAGUAGUAGCUUUUGUAGGUGGUGGUAGUAGCUUUUGUAGCUUGUGGUAGUAGUUUUUGUGGCUGGUGGUAGUAGCUUUUGUGUUCAUCGGAAACCUCACAGUAGUAUCUUUUGUAGGCGGUGGUAGUAGUUUUUAUAGCUGGUAGUAGUAAUUUUUAUCAUCGUCGGAGGUCGGCCGGAAACCUCGCCGGAGGUCGGUCGGAAAUCUCGCCGGAGGUCGGCCGGAAACCUAGCCGGAGGUCGGUCGGAAACCUCGCCGGAGGUCCGCAUGAAACCUCGCCGGAGGUCCGCUGGAAAUCUCACCGGAGGUCCGUGGGAGACUGUUCCGAAAUGAGAGUGGUUGUUGACUUUUUAUACUAGUGGCAUUCUUGUAAAUAUAAGGGAGAAAAUCUAAUUUUUUUUGUUGGAUGGCAGUCUGUAAUUAUGUUGAACUUCAAUACUUAAUACAAAACCUUAUUUAGACUUGGGUGGACUUAUGUGGGUAAAAAUGUUAGGGUGGAUCUAUGUGGGAAAAAAUGUCUCAAAGUGGACUUAUAUGUAAUUGGCCCUUAAUUUUAUUGGUUCAAGUAUUUUAUCUUUAUCUCUGAUUGGUGUAUUUAAUUACUUUUAUUGUUGGUGUGGCUUUUUGGAAGAAAAUUUGGAAGGUUAACAUUCCAAAUGGAGCUGAGGUAAAUAUAUGGCGUGUAGGCCAUAAUAUUCUCCCCACAUUGGAAAGACUUCAGUCAAAACAUGUGCCUUUAGAAUCGGUGAUAUGCUUGCUUUGUGCUCAGGAAACAGAAUCUACAAUCCAUCUUUGUCGUGACUGUCCUUUCACUUGUCCAACAACAUCUUAUCUCAGGUUUGUUUGAAUCCAUUAACGCUUCAUUUAAACCUGUUGGAAUGGUUAAACGAAUGCUCUCAAAACUUAUCUUCUUCUAUAUAUGCUUGGAGAAUUGAUAUUUUUAUUGUGGGGUAUUUGGAAGGAAAGAAAUAAUAGAGUCUGGGAUGGAAAGAAUGGCACAGCUUUGGAUGUAGUCUUUAGUUCUAUGACUAGAUUGAAUGACUUUCAGUCUGUGAUAAUUAAACCUAGAGGCAUGGGAAAAGGGAGGAUUGUGAGGGCUAGCUGGAAGCCUCCACCUCAUGGUAUUGCGAAAAUAAAUGUGGAUGGGUCAUUCAUUUCGGAAACACACAGUGGUAGCACAAGUUUUGUGAUAAGGGACAAUUCGAGUUCAUUUUUGGCGUGUGGAGGGCAAGCGUAUAAGGGUGUGGUUUCUGCUGAGCAUGUUGAAGUUUUGGUAUGCAGACAGGCUAUUGUUUUUGCUAUUGCAAAUAAUUUUCAGCCGGUCAUAAUAGAGACUGAUGCACAGGUGGUAUAUUUGCAGUUAAUAAACCACCAUCAAGCUAAUCCUUUUGUUUUGGGAAGACUUUAUGAUGAUAUUGGGAGUACGAUUCAAGAUUCAGGCUCUGUGAGGAUCAUGCAUACCAAAAGAUCUACAAAUAGGGUGGCACAUCUGAUGGCAGGACACUCUAAAACUCUAGUUAGAGAAACUUUUUACUUUUCUGUUCCCUCUUUUCUUCAGAAUGCAAUAGCAACUGAAAGAUCUUCCAUGUAGUUUUUAUUAUUUAUCAAUAAAGUAUGGCCUCUUUUAUUAAAAAAAAAAUAAUUACUUUACUUUUUUUUUUUCACCCUAUGCUGGUCCCCACAUGAAUCUGAGUUAUAUGAUUGGUUAAGAACAUCACAUGACAGUGUCACGUACAGAGAAUAAUUACUCAAGGACUUAUAAGAUGCAAGGGUUGAACAAUAAAAUUAAGACAUUAUACUUAUUAUCCACACAUAAAAUUAAACAACUUCCGCAAAUAACAUAUUAUUAGUAUCUAAAAAAUAAUAAUAAAAAAAUUGAUCACUGGCAUUAGUAUCUUAAAAAAAAAAAUUAAAAAACCUUCACAUUAUUAUUAGCAUAUUAAAAUUAAUAGAGGGUACUUUAGGUAUAAAAGUUGAUUCCUGAUAGUAUCAUUCCUAAACCCAUCUCCCUCCUUAAUAUUACAAUUCCGGGUUAUUAAGGAAUCAAUUCCUUGUUAGAUGGUGGGACCCACACUCAUUCUGAUUUCAUUAUGUGCAAGUAAAAACAAAAAUAAUAAUUAUUCCAUCACUUUUCAAUUUCAUUCCAGAUAAGUAAAUGUGCCCUUAUUAUUUGAGACUCUUUGGUUAUGGGAAUUGGGAAUUCAUAGUGCAUGUUUCAAAGGAGGUAAGAGUCGAAUCACUUUUGAGGGUGAUCAAGUCAAGAAGAUGCAACUUAUAAGAACAUAAGUUAAAAUUCCCUUUUGGUAUGAAGAAUAUUGUAGUUGCAACUCAUGUAGAAUUAGAUCAACAAUGAUUUCAAGUAAUUUUAUGCAUUUUUAUAUAUUAAAAGGUACAUUGUAGAACUUCCCGUAACAUUUUAACGAUAAUUUCACAUAAUAAAGACAUUCAUCGCUAUACAAUAAUUUUUGAAUGACUAGCCCACAUAUCUCGUUUAAGCUCAUAUGAACGGUACUGAACACGAGCAAUUUGGUAGUUUAGACUUCAGCAGAAAUUUGCAUGAUACCCUCUCUACCUAAUGUAGUCUUAGAAGUUAGAGUGAAUGCAACGCCAACAACACGGGAAAUAAGGCAAUCACAAACAGUGCACUCUCUUUGCAAUGCUAUCAAACCCCAAAUCGUCCAUCCACCCUUCCCUUGUCCAACACAGUUGUUUGAUCCUGCAUUAAUGCUAUCAGAAGUAUGCGAACAUUGUUUUCUUUUUUCGUUUCUGAUCUUCUCAUUCAGUUUACGUAGGGUUGGGAGUUACUUUCUCAUUCACUCAGUUAUGCAAGAAGCUAAAAAAAAACCCUCAAUUAGGUGAAUUUUGAGGUGCAUGUAGGGGUUAGCGGUGCCUGUAAUGGCAAUCGGUGUGUGUAUGUUUUGUCAAUUGUUGUAAAUUAUGUCAAUUGUAACUUUAUCAUCCCACAUUGUGCGCCCUCACUGCCGUGGGUCAUUUUUGUAUUCUGUUUGUUGUAUAACGACUUGUAUGACUUGUAUCAUAACAUGUUUGCUUAAUUACCCAGAUAAACAUAAACUCAUUGAAGCCAGAUGUCAUGUAAAUUCGCAAAAACGAAUGACAUCUGAUCUUAUAAUAUAUAACUCUCUUCCUAGUUGAUUGAUCAUAACAAAAAAAAAAGUUUCUUAAAACAAUGUCACCUUAUAUGCAACACUAAAUGACACUGGUUUUCUUGUUAACAAAAUAGUUGUAUAGAAUCACUGGCGCCUUCAUCCUCUUUGGGAGGGGACGCCCCACAGGAACUAUAUCUGUAGGAGAUCUUCUCCUACUUAUUUUGUUUUCCUUUUUUCGUUUGGCUGAGAUUUUGAGCUGAUUGCUUUUGGAAACCAUGUCGUUUUACAAAUAUUGAAUCCCCUUGUGUGCAGGUGAGCCACAAAACAAACAUACAAUACUCAAAUGUGUUGGAAAAUUUGGGUCGAUGGAUGUUAAUAACGCUACCAGAUUUUGUCACCUACAAAAUCAUACAAAUAUAUGAUAUUAUUAACAAAUAAUAUUACUUAUAAUUAUGCCAAAAUAACUAGAAAACAACAAAAUAUAAAUACUAAUCUUUGAUUAUGAAGUCUGCGUCAAAAACUUGAUCUGGUAAAUGUUUAAGGUUGAGACGUGUAAACAGUGCUCUUAAGAGUAGAUUUCGCCCUCGGAGACAAUAUCUCGGUGUAGCAGGUUUAUGGCGACCUACCCUCCAAGGUACAACAACCGUUAAUCUUUGUAAGCGUACACUCGCAAUACUUGGAUCCUAGAACCGCCUGAUAACUCUUUGGUAUAACACAUAAUAUAGUUGGACUCACAAGAGGAAUGACUAGGGAGAAAAAAGAAUAGAGAAUAGGAUGAAUAUUCCAUUGUGUAUAUAUUGAAAAGCUUGACAUGAAGAGUAUAUAUAGUAGUGUAUGAGAAGAUAUAAUCAUGAUAGAAAAAAGGCUUGCAACUGACAACAUUCAAAUCAUGAAGUUAAGGAGAAUAACGGACAAAUAGAAAAUGAAGGAAUAAAUUUGAUUGAGUAUUGUAACCUACCACAAUUGCCAUAAACUCAUGUAACUGAAAAUAUUUAUGGCAACGAAUAACCAUUUAAAUGUAACAUUUGAAUCAAGUUGGAUAAGAGACACUAAACACAAGUAUUUUGAAAUAUCACAUCAAAAAUUCCAAUAAUCCUCCACAUAUUUCAAAAUACGGAAAUUCUAACAAAAUGAGAGAACUAGAAGAGUGCCAAAGGAGAGUGAGAGUACAAUGCAUCUGAAUUGGUGUCUUUUCGACUAUGAACCAGCCAUAGGAUAAGAUAGCUAUGACCAAGUAUUAAAAUAUCUGUAUCGGCAUAUCUAUCGGUACUUUGAAAAAAGGAGAUAUCGGAUAUAUCGGGGAUAUAUCAGAGAUAUUGGGGAAAAAAUAUCAGAAAUUCGGGAAGAAUUUUUUUCUAAAAUAUUUAAUUUAUUGUAUUUACUUAUAAAUUGUACAAACAUCAACUUCAUCUAUAUCUAGAAGAAGACUCCAAGUGGUUGAAAAGAAGUACGGUGGUCUACAAAAGUAUAGUAUUCAGACCAAAACAUAUAACCCUAAGAAUUGUAUUGUUGAAUAUGAUAGUCGUAUAUCUCUUUGGAGCUACUAACUGUUCCCCUUAUAUCUCUUUUCGAAUAUUGUUGAUGGUGAUUCUUGUUUACACCGAAAUUUUUUACAUAUAUUUCUUUAAUAUAUCAGAGAUUUAUCGUAGAUUUCCUAAAUAUUGGAGAUAUUGACGGAAUCAGAGAAAUUUGACAGAAUCUGAGAUAUUUGACGGAAUCGGAGAUAUUUGACGGAAUCGGAGAAAUUUGAUGAAUGGAAUUGGAGAAAUUUGACUGAAUCGGAGAAAUUUGACAGAAUCUGAGAAAUUUGACGGAAUCGGAGAUAUUUAACGGAAUUGGAGAAAUUUGACGGAAUCAAAGAAAUUUGACUGAAUCGGUGAUAUUUGACGGAAUCGAUGGAAGAUAAGAUAUUUACCCCUCUAGAUAUAUUGGUCACUCCAAAAAAGGAGAUAUCGGUGGAUAUAUCAGAUAUAUCACAGAGAUUUUAAUCGUUGGCUAUGACACAAAAAUUUGGUGAAAAUGAAAUUUUCUAUAAACCAUAAUUUCUAGAUGUGCAUCGGAGAGCUACUAUCCACAUUGAACCUCUAUCAAGCUUAUCAUGUGGGUGGGCACGAAUAGGCCAUGCGCCCCUACCUGGAUAUUCACGAGUGCUCUAGAAGACUUGCCCAAGUCUCAUAGGAAGCGGCCCCACUUCCACACUGAUAUAGGUGAGUCCAUUAAGUGUGUACUGGAAUCGAACAUACGACCCAAAUGUAAGGGCUAUGGUACUCAUUAAGAACAAAGUUCAUCCUUAUACGUUUCAGUUAAAGCAUUAUCUUUACACCAUAGGGAUAGACUCUAAAUUUUUAAUUUGAUAGUGCACCACCGAUCAACAAGUGACUUGUUAUUACCCAUAUGAACCUACUUCAUGGGAUCUCCAAUCACAUAAGUUGGGUUAUCAUCACUCUUGACCUUUGUUAUAGGCAUAAGUCUCAUCCCCCUUGAUGUACUAACCACUAGCUUUGGUCUUUAGUGUAGUGGUUGUAAGAGUAUCCGCCAAAAUCAACUUUCACAUAUGAAACUUAUUGAAUAUUCUUGAGAAUAAGUAAUCACAAUUGGAUUCUCAGUUAUCCAAUAUCAUUGGACCAUAAGAGCCAACCUUUCCUUGUUUUUCUUUGACCCCCACAUUUUUGGGUAUGACUGAAAGCCAUAAACUCAUAUAUACUGACACAAUAGUACGUAUCAACCACAUUUAUUUAGGUAACUAUCUUGGCGUGUACCAAUGUGUACCUUUAGAUGACCUAUGUCACCCCCACAUUUGAGCCAUCAAAUUUCGAAUAUAUAAUUGUUUUGAGGCAAGAUUCACUGCAAGACAACAUAAAUUCGAAAGGCAACCAAAAAUCUUUAGGGCAACAUACCGAGCCAAUUAUGUGAGCAAAUACCGAGUAACCCACUAUAUAUAAUUAGGCAACUGUAUUACUGGUAACCAUAUCCUCAAGGCAAUCAUACCUAUUUUCCUUCAAUCAUAAAAACCAAUGUUAGUUCAGUGUACGUAGUAAUAACACACAACAUAAAUUAUAAUUACCGUAUGCAUUACUAAGAAAUAAUUCUCCGUUUUAAUACUUACUCAUAUAGCAUUCAAACUAAUGAUACUAAGCAAAUAAUAUAAUGAUCAAGCAUGCAUGGUGGCAAUUAUAUAAUACGAGAGCCCAAACAUAAUUCAUCAAUAAAUAAAUUAAAAGCAACAUUUUUGAGUCUAGAAGAAAAUAUUAAGUAAUAUAGGAGACUAGUAGUAGAAGACUUAUCUUUAUAUCAAAGUUUCUACCAUAAAGCUAGGAAACAUCCAACAACGAUGUCUACUCUUAAGAUUGUUGGAAAAUUUGGGUCGAUGGAUGUUAAUAACGCCACCAGAUUUUGUCACCUACAAAAUCAUAAAAAUAUAUGAUAUUAUUAACAAAUAAUAUUACUUAUAAUUAUGCCGAAAUAACUAGAAAACUGUUGUAAAACGAAAGGGAAUAGAUUGAGAAAGGAGAGAAACAACCAAGAGAAUGAGAGAAUAUGUGUGUAUUAUUGAGUAGGGAAUCAUCUCUUAUAUAGAGAUGUAAUCAGUAUGUAAAUUACAUGAAUAUCCCUAGUAAGCUAAUUUACAAGAAUGCCCAUUCAAUAAAUUAUUUACAACACUCCCCCUUGGGUAUUCUCUGUUAUUAGCUUCAUUUGAUAUGUGCUUUAGUGUUGCCUCGUCAAAACCUUGCCAGGUAAUAAAAACCUUAUGGGACAAAAACAAUCCUGGUCGAAGGAAAAAAGAGUACAACGCAUAUGUAGUGGUGGUAGUCAGAACCCUUGAUUUCGGUGAAGCGGUUUAGUCUGGAUCAUAAAAUGUGAGUCCGUGGGAGAUGGAUGUAUAAUAGUUACUACACCAAAACCUUGUCCGGUAAACCCAGUGGGACAAACCCGUGGUCGAAGGGAAAAGAUGAGCAAAUGCAUAUAUUUCAAAUAAAGACAUAUUCAAGAUAAAGUAUGAGUAGGGUGACCAAUUUAAUGUGUGCCUCAUUAAAACCUUGCCAGGUAACAAAACCCAGUGGGACAAAAUAACCCUGGACGAAGGACAAAAGAGUACACAAUGGUCAAGAGUAUGCUUCAAGAUACUCCCCCUAAUAUUGACUCCUCCUGAAAACUACACACAAGGUAAAACUACUACAUUGAUCAUGCUUCUUGAAUAAUUUAAUAGUCAACAUGACUUAAAGAGGUUUUUGUUUCAUAUACCUCUAAGAUUAUUGUAUUCCCUAUAGUAAAGACAUAACUAGUCGGGAAUAAGCCUUGUGUCGGUUCACAUAACUCAUGUCAGCAUAUUUAAUAAGGCAAACAUUAUUCCAAGGAUCAUAGGCGGUUGAUUCAUUUCAUGAUGCCUAGGGAUAGAAUGAGCCCUUUUUCCAUCAUACAUUUAAAGUAACGGAAAAUUGUUUUUAUGCCAUUUACGGAGACGGCGUGUUAGCGCAGAGCUAUAUCUAGCAAACAAAUUCACAUCGGGUGAGAUGUUCGAUCUAGGACAUUUAGCCAAGUACAAUAAUGCGCAUAUUGUACUUAGAUAUGAGUCUUCUAGUCCCAAUAUCUCUUCGUUAUCAUCUGCACGAUGAUACGAGUCUCACUAGAUUUCAGACGAUUAUGAGUGAGUUUGAAGACUUUGCUUUAUCCUCAUUAAAAC
rnacentral:lncRNA from 1 species